GGUGUUGGUUGCAUUUGGAUCCUUUUCUUUAUUUAUUUGAUGAUUAUAUUUGGUACUUAAGGACCGUCAACAACUCCCCCAAGCUUACCUCUUGCUCGUCCCUGACAAAGGAUGGACUCAAGAGUUUCUGCAGUGGUUUCAUGUCUUAAAGGUACACAUGCGUUCAAACAAGAUCUCAUCUCUAGGUCAGGGUAAAUUGUUAAGAUUUAAACUUACUCAUAUUACCUUCCCUCAUGGGGCUUGUAACCGUCACUUGUGUCUUGAGUAGUUAAAGGAUAGAACGGUCAAGUCCAGCGCCAUGUCUCUUGUUUUUGAUCAACUAUAGCUCUAGAGUUUUGGCAGAUUUUCAUAUAAAACUCAGAGAUUCCUUUGUAUGACUCUCUCAGAUCUCUCUUUUGUUGUAUUUCUGGAUACUUACCAAGGCAGUGAUGGUAUAUGCCUUCUCUCAAAGUAUGUAGUAUUUGUGGUAUAAGGCAUAGUGACAUUGCCUUCUCUCUCACCCUACUCUAAUAAGGCUUGAUAUCUGGAGCUCAUAGGUGGGACAUAAAGUAUACAUACUUACAAGACAUUUAGUGCAUAGUCAAACCAUGGAUCGAGAAGAACAGGUCAAUAAGUCAAAUCAAGAUGUGCAUGUGUGGCGAAUGAAUGGUGUAUGGUGAUGAUGGUGAUAAUGGUGAAAACAAUGGUCAAAGUCUAAUUCUACGUUUGCUCUUUUGAGGGGAUAUAUACCUUACUUGCACUUUGAAACUUUUUGAGGGGAAUGAGAUGCUCUAUAUUUUCUUUUUCUUUUCUCUCAGGUGGGUAUCUUGUACCCCUAAUUCUACUAUCGGACACUUGUCCAUUUUUACCUCUCGUCUCACUUUUUCUUUUUUCGAGGUUUCAGGCACUUGCCCCUUUUUAUUUCCUCGUAUUCAUAUUUUUUUUCAGAGCACUCAUCCUCCUAGAAUAAUGUAGCCAGUGGUAGUAACCAAAAUAUCUUGAGCAUUUAUUUCAUGAGGAAUAACAGGGAUAGUAUAAUGUUUUUGGCUAUUCUCUCCUAGAUAGGAGUAGAAUAAUUUUAAGUGAAUCUGGAGAUGGAAAUGUGUGGAUGUAUCUGGAUGCGUACUUCUGGACUAGAAGCAGCAUGUAUGAGUGAGCGUGCAAGUGAAUCUUGAUCUUAACCGUAUGACAACCUCCUAAGGGUCUACACAGCUUGACCACACUCAAUGCUCAUUUGUAGUAAAAAGAUGUAAAUGUAUAGUUCAUAGUCUAGCAAGCAUGUAUGUAUGGCCGUGGUGGGAAUUUAAACUCUCAUCAUAUAGGAACUCAUCAUGCAAUAUUUUAAAGAUUUUUAUAGAUAAAAUUCUCUAGAAUUCUAGCAUCUCUAGGAACAGAUAAACAACAGCUCAACCUUCCCAUAUCAUAUCCAUUAACGAUUUAGACUUUAGAUCAAGUACUCUUUCCACAAGUUCAGGUUUAGAGCAAAUCUUAAUUCAUAACAGUCAUGCCUAAACUUGAGAGAGAUUUCAAUUUUGAGAACUAGUCAUGGUAGAGCAACUAUUCAUCAUUUCCAUGUGAGAGCUUAUCAUGAGGGUUCAUAGCAAACUUUAUUUAUUUAUUUAGUAAACUAAGCAAAGAUAUAUAUAAGCACAAAAUCUUUAUUUGGGUUUUUAUGAUUAUGUAUCUUUUUAUUAUUUGAGUAAAGUAUAAAUACGAGUAGAAACACUCAGGUGGAUAAAUGGGGGUGCUCUCCUCCAAGCUGGAUUUUGACAUAAUUUCUUGUGAUGUAGCUAGCAGGUGACGAGGUGUAUUUGAAUUUCGGCAGCACCCUGACAGCGAUUAGGAUGUCCUCUGUAUGCUAGUUUUCUUGAUCCUUGAAUUCUUACGGCGAGGGUUCAAUGUUUUAAGUCUUUUGAACAAGACUUCUCACCGUGUUCAUUCUUUAGGUGCGUCAUUUGAUUCAGGUGUGGACCUUGAUGUCUGCACCUCUUGAUACGGUGUCACCCAUGUUCUUCGUUUGCCCAGCAGUUCAAAGUGUGGCGUUGGCAGCAUCUUGCUUAGUGUGUUUGUGCUCGUAGAUCCAUGUCCUUCACUUGGUGGAGUCUAGGAGUUGUAAAACUCCUCCAUGUUUUGCUCGAAGUGUACCUGCUCAUAGAGACAAGGCAGAGAUCAAGUGCAUGGGCCCUGUUGGUGGAAAACACCAACAGAACCAAAAGUGUAUUUGUUCUUCUCUAACCUUAAGCAUAGUGAGCAAGACAAAGUUGAUAAGAUCAUGAGUGUAGCAUUUAAAACAUUUUUUUAGAUCAGAUCGCUCAAUCUAGUGGUAAGAUAAUCUAUCUAUAUUUAUGUUUUUUAAUAUAUCUUCCAAAGAUUGAGUGUGCAACAUUUUAGCUCAUAUGAUUAGGAGUGUGGGAUCACAAAGGUGGAAGGACUAAACAUGUUGAAUCGAUUGGGUUGGUUAAUCUAGAGUUGUAAAUCAUACAUGUUUCUCUCUUUUAUUCAUAUGAACGCCAGAACCAAGGAGAAGCUUAUAAAAGUGAUAGUCAAGUACCUCAAGAUGUUACCUUACUUGAAGAGUGAUGGUAUAGUAUCACCUUGUGGAAGCUUUCCUUUCUUAGUGGUUGUGCAUCGUGUUUGUGGCACCCUCCAUGGAUCAUCUCUUAUGAGCUAUGUCUUCCAUGUGUAAAUUGUUAAACUUCAUGUGUCUCUCUCUUUGUCUCUAAUGUGAGUUUAUCUCAAGAAUUCCCAGGUCGAUAUUGAAAGUUUUCCUGCAGGGGUUAGUACAACAAAAUAUCCAAUAUCUACAAUAGCAUACUAUCGGCUCAAAAAUCAACCUAGACACCAUGUCUAAUUUGAUUUAGGAGGGCAUUUUAUCCUAAGCACCAUGCUUAAUUUAAAAUCCCUUGGAAGUAAGAUCAUCAUUCCUAAACUAAGCACCAUGCUUAUUUAAGAGAUAAAUGAAACUACUCCAAACCUAGACAUAUACUAAAGCAAAUAAAGGUAGCAUGAGAGAAUUUAUAGAGAUCUGCUCAAGUGGAGAUGAAGUAGUGUGAUUAGUAUUUAACAAAUUGAGCAUGUCUCAAAGGUAGGGACAACCAACAUAGUAACAUGGCAAAGGAUGUUUUUAUGUAAAGUACUCCCCCAAGCUUGAAUUUUGCAAAAUUCAAGUUUGGAUGAAUUUAAUUCAAUGUUGUAUGAUGAUUGGAUGGACAUAUCUUGUGCUUGUCAUUUAUCCGAUCUUCUUGCUCCAAUCCUGGAAAGGUUAGUGACAAGAAUACCCAAAGGAAUAUUUUUACAAUUAUCCUUAUAUGCUCAAUACACAAGGCAAUAGGGCAAGGUCAUGUUACGAUCUGAUAAGCGCUUAUUUUAGGACACUAAGCUUGUCCUUGGGAAACCAUUAGUUUAUGUUGGCGAAGUGGUUUCCCCUCUGAUACCAACCUUUGUAUAUCAAGAUUAGCUCAACGAGAUCUGCAAUAUUUAUUAUAGACAUAUGCAUUGACAACCGCCCUUUUAAAGUUUUUGUAAAUAGAAAGGAAGAGGGGGUUGGAGAUCUCAAAUGUGGUGAUGUUGGAGAGACCAAUAGAUUGGGAAGAUGUUUCAUAUGAGCAUGGAGUAAACGAAGUGGCUAUGAAAUAAAUUCCAUUGUCAUUAAUGUUAUCUUCGUCUCUAAUCUGAAUGUUUAGAGUUUCUCUUGGAUUGGUCCCGUCUAUGUCCUCUUCUAUAGAUGGAUGAAUCUCAUAUUCAAGGGGAGUUAAAGACUCAACAUCUGAAAUUGAGCCAAGGUCAGAAUCCAUUGAGGCUUCUUCCUUGUCCAUCCAUUCUACACAUUCCAUCCAUUUAGAACUUGUGAUCAGGAAAGAGGGGGUGUUAGAAUUUUUUAUAUGGCUUAGCUCUCCUUCUAUGACAUUACUUGACAUGUCAUCCUCAUGGUCUUUAUGAUUCCUAUGGUUUGAUCGUCUUGAUGGAUUGCUAGGAUCAUCAUGAGACUGAAAAGGAGAGGGAUAAGAAGGGUCUCUAAGGUAAAGGAUGGAUUUAGAAUUUAUGAACAUGGAAGGGGAGCAGAUAGAAUCUUCUAUAUGGUUUAGCUCUCCUUCACUUGAUAUGUCAUCCUCGACUUCUUCAUAACAGGAACCAAAGCAUUCUCUAAGAGAACCAUUAUUGCAAGGAUUUGAAUUAUCCCUGCUUCAAGGUCUCUUAUAGAACCAGAAGUCUAAACCAUCUGCAUCUGAAAGAUUUAAGGUUGGAAUUGCUUCCUCCCUUUGAGAAUUUGGGGGUAUUGAUGGUUUAGGAUCGAUAGCUAAAGUUUGGGAUUGAAGUGGUUGUAAUUUGGCAAUCGAAACUUCUCUUCUGGUCUAGGAACUGAUUCUUUCUCUUUCUCAUGGAUAUAAGUGCUAGGAGACUUUCCGCUCAUUAAAUCAAUCAAAUUCCAAGCUUCACUAGCGGUCAGGCGGUGGAAAGAUCCUCUAGAGGCCGCAUUAAGUGUUUGCUUAUUUUCCCUACUAAGGCCCUUUAAAAAGUGAAUUAGAAGAACUUCUUCUGGAAUAGAAAGAUUUGGGCCAGUGAGAGUAAGGUCAAUAAGGCGGUCCCAUGAUUCGCCAAGAGAUUCUUCUUCUAGUUGUCUAAAAGAAAGAAUCUCGAUCCGAAGAUCCACCACUUUGGAGAUCAGAAAAUAUUUAAAAAGAAAACUAUUGUAUAGCUCCUUCCAAUCUCCAUGAGCACUUCCUAUGUUGAGUUUAUACCAAUAUCUAGCUUUUCCCGUAAUUAAAGAGAACGGAAAGAGCUUCCAUUUAAGGGUCUCAUCGGACAUGCCUUCAAUGCGAAGGAGGUCACAGACUCGAUAAAACUCUCUUAGGUGUGUGUAUGGGUUUUCCUCACCUUCUCCUGAGAAAGGUUGUUUUUGAACAAAUUCUAUGUAUUCCGGGCUUAUCUCAAAACUAGAUGUCAUGAUAGGCUUUGAAGAUUUUGGGGGUUUGAGAUGUGUGCCCGUAGGUCUAUGAAACUGAUCUAUAGACAAGUUUGCAUUCAUGAUAGACCAGAAAUCAAGGAUUAGAUAAGAAGAAAGAAUAGCAGAGAUGAGGCAAAGGAUAAAAGGAAUAUAUAUUAUUUAUAUAUAUUUUUGAAAAAAAAGAUUAAGCUAGUUCGUAGUCAACUCAGCAACCGUCUCCCCGGCAACGGAGCCAAAAAAACUUGUUGACACUUGCUAACACCACUUGAAUACUAGGUUGUCAUCCCUAGUAUGGUACUAGAGUGUACUAUGGUAUUUAUACGCACACAGAUAAAUCCGCAAGCGCAUGGAUACUGUUGUAGCUUUUACUCGGUUUAAGGUUUUAUCGUAUCCACAGGAAAACGGGAGAACCAACUAUGCUCUAACGUGACCAAGAUAGAUAGAUAGGUGUAAAUAGGAAAGAUGGUAGAAUUGAAUAAGAAUAAUAUUAAAGGUAAGAUAACAAUGGGUGAUAAUAUGGGAAUAGAGAGUAGAGCAAUCUUGUAUAUGGACGAUAAUAGGAGAAUAGAGAGGAUAACUAGGGUUUCUCCACUUCAAAGGGGUAUGUCUGUCUGUGGCGUACCAUAAGUAUAAAACAACACAGAGGAUGCUUAUACCUAAGGUCGAGGACUCCUACGAGUCCUGCUAAUGGGAGAUGGACUACAGAGGACUACGUAGCUGUCACCUACGCGGCCUACCACAUGAUCCGGCUAACAGGGGAUAUCCACAAGUAAUCUAGGCCUAAGCACCACGCUUACACCUAUACUACAACUCUCACCUAUAGCGUCCUAUAGAUUAAAGUACUCAAAAGAGUUGUGAACCAGAACAUACAUGGAUAGUAAUUGCAUAAUGAAAUAAAAGUAGAUUACCAGAGUCAUCCCAUAACCAAGCUUGAUUAGAGCUUGAUCAUGGCGAAGUACAACCGGAGGAAGAACCGAUAGGCCAGCCUCUCCUCCAAUCCUCCCUCGCUCUCCAUCUCGCUACUAUCUAGAUCUACUCUAGUUUAGAGAUGAGAGGAGAGCUCUCAUCUCCAAACCCUAGCUUUUGCUCUAUCUAUGAAUAAUGAAUAAGGAUUUAGAGGUCGUCUCCUCCAGGGGCCAGGGGGGCUUGCUUAUAUAGCCCUUCCAAAUGAACAUGGGUCGUCGGAUCAAACCGACCUUAAUCGCACAGUUUUCCUUGAUCCUCAAAGGCAGUGGAGCAUAAUCUGCGAGACUCAGCCUGAUUGGCUACUGAGCCAGGGCAGGCGCCCUAGGGGGGAGGCCGGGUGCCCUGUCCCCGAGCCCGCUCGGCUUCCCGUUCGUUCCAGUGGCUUCUAGAGUCUUCUAGAUGAUAGAAAAUUGCGCAGCACGUUAAUAUCUCUAUGUAAACCCGACAUGUGGGCCUUUCCUCCAUAUUUCCUGAUAACCCCCUGCCGAAAUAGACAAACACCAAAACUCAUGGAAUUCUAUCAGAUAAAACCCUAAGUCUGGGUGUUGGUUGCAUUUGGAUCCUUUUCCUUAUUUAUUUGAUGAUUAUAUUUGGUACUUAAGGACCGUCAACAAAAGGCUAUGGCGCGGAAGGGUUGUAGGACAUGAAAAUGAUAUGGCACUGGACUUAUGGGACGAACACAAGAACACUCGAAACUAAGGGUAGAUGUGAACCUAACGGUAUACCUGAAGCUUUGAUUACCACUUGAUGAGAACAAGGGUGGCCCGAUCUUCUGAAAGGUUCUCGUAACUCUCGAUUUGGUGAAGACGAGACACAAAUCUAUGUGGCUUCCGAACAACACGAUCCGAAACCCCGCAUUUUUUUAUUUUUUUAAUAUUUUUCAUUUACUUAAGAGCACUAAAGAAGUAACCACAGAAAAUUUGAGCUUAAUCAAGUAAAAGACGUGGCCUGCGGAAUUUUGUGAAGAUUACAAAAAAUGUGAAAAAAACUUCACAAGGUGAAAACUCAAAAUUCGAAGACGAAUUUGGAGAUUCUAAAAUUUUCAAACCCCCUAAAACUGAGGACAGACAGACACUAAAUUUUUUUCUGAUCGAUUUUGAUAUAUGGAACAUUGAAAUCGGAGUUUGUAUGUGAAAGUUAUGGCUGUUUUACGAACGGACUCCGAAUUUGAGGACAAAACGGUCCGAAAGUGGGAAAAAGUAGCGUCGAUGGCUAGAAAUUGAUGGAAACGGUGGGGAAAAACACAAACUGGACUCUAACAAGACCUAACCAGCAACAAGACCUCGUCCAGGACACAAACUCAAAACUGCGGACUCAGAAACUGAAAUAUGCAAAGGCUAUGGCGCGGAAGGGUUGUAGGACACAAAAAUGAUAUGGCACUGGACUUAUGGGACAAACACAAGAACACUCGAAACUAAGGGUAGAUGUGAACCUAACGUUAUACCUGAACCUUUGAUUACCACUUGAUGAGAACAAGGGUGGCCCGAUCUUCCAAAAGGUUCUGUUAACUCUCGAUUUCGUGGAGACGAGACACAAAUCGAUCCGGCUUUCGAACAACACGAUCCGAAACCCUGCAAUUUUUUUUAUUUUUUUGAUAUUUUUCUUUUACUUAGGUGCACUAAAGAAGUAACCACAGAAAAUUUGAGCUUAAAUAAGUGAAAGACGUGGCCUGCGGAAUUUUCUAAAUUUUGUGAAAAAAGUGAAAAAAACUUCACGAGGUGAAAACUUAAACUUCGGAGUCGUAUUUCGAAAUUCUAAAAUUUUCAAAACCGCUAGUGGUAGGGACAGGCAGACCCAAAAUUUUUUUCUGAUUGAUUUUGAUAUAUGGAACGUUGAAAUCGGAGUUCGUACGUGAAUUGUAUGGCUAUUUUACGAACGGACUCCGAAUUAGAGAACAAAACGGUCCGAAAGUGGGAAAAAUUUGUGGCGAUGGCUAGAAAUUGAUGGAAACGGUGGGGAAAAACAUACUAACUGGACUCUAACAAGUCCUAACCAGCAACAACCUCGACCAGGACACAAACUCAAAACUGCGGACUCUGAAUCUGAAAUAUGCAAAAGCUUUGGCGCGGAAGGUUGUAGAACAGGAAAACAAUAUGGCACUGGACUUAGACGAACAUAAGAACACUCGAAACUAAGGGUAGAUGUGAACCUAACGGUAUACCUAAAGCUUUGAUUACCACUUGAUGAGAACAAGGGUGGCCCAAUCUUCCGAAAAGUUCUAGUAACUCUCGAUUUGGUGGAGACGAGACACAAAUCCAUACAGCUUCUGAACAACACGAUCCGAAACCCUGCAUUUUUUUAUUUUAUUGAUAUUUUUAUUUUACUUAGGAAUGCUAAAGGAGUAACCAUAGAAAAUUUGAGCUUAAGCAAGUGAAAGACAUGGCCUGUGGAAUUUUCUGAAGAUUGUGAAAAAUGUGAAAAAACUUCACGUAUUGGAAACUCAAACUUCGGAGGCGAAUUUCAGGAUUCUAAAAUUGUCAAACCCGCGAAAGUUAGGGACAAACAGAUUUGAAAUUUUUUUCUGAUCUAUUUUGAUACAUGAAACGUUCAAAUUGGAGUUCGUAUGCAAAGGUUAUCGCUGUUUUACGAACAGACUUCAAAUUUGAGGACAAAACGGUCCGAAAGUGGGAAAAUUUUGCGGCGGUGGCAAGAAAUUGAUGGAAACGGUGGGGAAAAGAUAUGAACUGGACUCUAACAAGACCUAACCAGCAACAAGACCUCGACCAGGACACAAACUCAACACUGCGGACUCUGAAACUGAAAUAUGCAAAGGCUAUGGCGGGGAAGGGUUGUAGGACAGGAAAACGAUAUGGCACUGGACUUAUGGGACGAACACAAGAACACUCAAAACUAACGGUAUACCUGAAGCUUUGAUUACCACUUGAUGAGAACAAGGGUGGCCCGAUCUUCUGAAAGGUUCUCGUAACUCUCAAUUUGGUGAAGACGAGACACAAAUCGAUGUGGCUUCCGAACAACACGAUCCGAAACCCCGCAUUUUUUUAUUUUUUUUAAUAAUUUCCUUUUACUUAGGAGCACUAAAGAAGUAACCACAUAAAAUUUGAGCUUAAUCAAGUAAAAGACGUGGCCUGCAAAAUUUUGUAAAUAUUACAAAAAAUGUGAAAAAAACUUCACAAGGUGAAAACUCAAACUUCGAAGACGAAUUUGGAGAUUCUAAAAUUUUCAAACCCCCUAAAACCGAGGACAGACAGACACUAAAUUUUUUUCUAAUCGAUUUUGAUAUAUGGAACAUUGAAAUCGGAGUUUGUAUGUGAAAGUUAUGGCUGUUUUACGAACGGACUCCGAAUUAGAGGACAAAACGGUCCGAAAGUGGGAAAAAGUUGCGGCGAUGGCUAGAAAUUGAUGGAAACGGUGGGAAAAAAAACACAAACUGGACUCUAACAAGACCUAACCAGCAACAAGACCUCGACCAGACACAAACUCAAAACUGCGGACUCGGAAACUGAAAUAUGCAAAGGCUAUGGCGCGGAAGGGUUGUAGGACAGAAAAAUGAUAUGGCACUGGACUUAUGGUACAAACACAAGAACACUCGAAACUAAGGGUAGAUGUGAACCUAACGGUAUACCUGAAGCUUUGAUUACCACUUGAUGAAAACAAGGGUGGCCCGAUCUUCCGAAAGGUUCUAUUAACUCUCGAUUUGGUGGAGAUGAGACACAAAUCGAUCCGGCUUCCGAACAACACGAUCCGAAACCCUGCAAUUUUUUUUUAUUUUUUUGAUAUUUUUCUUUUACUUAGGUGCACUAAAGAAGUAACCACAGAAAAUUUGAGCUUAAACAAGUGAAAGACGUGGCCUGCGAAAUUUUCUAAAUUUUGUGAAAAAAGUUUAAAAAACUUCACGAGGUGAAAACUUAAACUUCGGAGGCGUAUUUGGAAAUUCUAAAAUUUUCAAACCCGCUAGUGGUAGGGACAGGCAAACCCAAAAAAAUUUUUCUGAUUGAUUUUGAUAUAUGGAACGUUGAAAUCGGAGUUCGUACGCGAAUGUUAUGGCUAUUUUACGAACGGACUCUGAAUUAGAGAACAAAACGGUCCGAAAGUGGGAAAAAUUUGUGGCGAUGGCUAGAAAUUGAUGGAAACGGUGGGGAAAAACAUACUAACUGGUCUCUAACAAGACCUAACCAGCAACAACCUCGACCAGGACACAAACUCAAAACUGCAGACUCUGAAUCUGAAAUAUGCAAAAGCUAUGGCGCGGAAGGGUUGUAGAACAGGAAAACAAUAUGGCACUGGACUUAUGGGACGAACACAAGAACACUCGAAACUAAGGGUAGAUGUGAACCUAACGGUAUACCUAAAGCUUUGAUUACCACUUGAUGAGAACAAGGGUGGCCCGAUCUUCCGAAAAGUUCUGGUAACUCUCGAUUUGGUGGAGACGAGACACAAAUCGAUACAGCUUCUGAAUAACACGAUCCGAAACCCUACAUUUUUUUAUUUUUUUGAAAUUUUUAUUUUACUUAGGAGUGCUAAAGGAGUAACCACAGAAAAUUUGAGCUUAAGCAAGUGACAGACAUGGCCUGUUGAAUUUUCUGAAGAUUGUGAAAAAUGUGAAAAAACUUCACGUAUUGGAAACUCAAACUUCGGAGGCGAAUUUCAGGAUUCUAAAAUUGUCAAACCUGCGAAAGUUAGGGACAAACAGAUUUGAAAUUUUUUCUGAUUUAUUUUGAUAUAUGAAACGUUGAAAUCGGAGUUCGUAUGCGAAGGUUAUGGCUAUUUUACGAACAGACUUCGAAUUAGAGGACAAAACGGUCCGAAAGUGGGAAAAUUUUGCGGCGGUGGCAAGAAAUUGAUGGAAACGGUGGGGAAAAGAUAUGAACUGGACUCUAACAAGACCUAACCAGCAACAAAACCUCGACCAGGACACAAACUCAACACUGCAGACUCUGAAACUGAAAUAUGCAAAGGCUAUGGCGUGGAAGGGUUGUAGGACAGGAAAACGAUAUGGCACUAGACUUAUGGGACGAACACAAGAACACUCAAAACUAACGGUAGAUGUGAACCUAACGGUAUACCUGAAGCUUUGAUUACCACUUGAUGAGAACAAGGGUGGCCCGAUCUUCUGAAAGGUUCUCAUAACUCUCGAUUUGGUGAAGACGAGACACAAAUCGAUCUGGCUUCCAAACAACACAAUCCGAAACCCCGCAUUUUUUUAUUUUUUUAAUAUUUUCCUUUUACUUAGGAGCACUAAAGAAGUAACCACAUAAAAUUUGAGCUUAAUCAAGUAAAAGACGUGGCCUGCGGAAUUUUGUGAAGAUUACAAAAAAUGUGAAAAAAACUUCACAAGGUGAAAACUCAAACUUCGAAGACGAAUUUGGAGAUUCUAAAAUUUUCAAACCCCCCAAAACCGAGGACAGAUAGACACUAAAUUUUUUUCUCAUCGAUUUUGAUAUAUGGAACAUUGAAAUCGGAGUUUGUAUGUGAAAGUUAUGGCUGUUUUACGAACGGACUCCGAAUUAGAGGACAAAACGGUCUGAAAGUGCGAAAAAGGUUCGGCGAUGGCUAGAAAUUUAUGGAAACGGAGGGAAAAAAAUACAAACUGGACUCUAACAAGACCUAACCAGCAACAAGACCUCGACCAGGACACAAACUCAAAACUGCGGACUCGGAAACUGAAAUAUGCAAAGGCUAUGGCGCGGAAGGGUUGUAGGACACAAAAAUGAUAUGGCACUGGACUUAUGGGACAAACACAAGAACACUCGAAACUAAGGGUAGAGGUGAACCUAACGGUAUACCUGAAGCUUUGAUUACCACUUCAUGAGAACAAGGGUGGCCCGAUCUUCCGAAAGGUUCUGUUAACUCUCGAUUUGGUGGAGACGAGACACAAAUCGAUCCGGCUUCCGAACAACACGAUCCGAAACCCUGCAAUUUUUUUUAUUUUUUUGAUAUUUUUCUUUUACUUAGGUGCAUUAAAGAAGUAACCACAGAAAAUAUGAGCUUAAACAAGUGAAAGACGUGGCCUGCGGAAUUUUCUAAAUUUUGUGAAAAUGUGAAAAAAACUUCACGAGGUGAAAACUUAAACUUCGGAGGCGUAUUUGGAAAUUCUAAAAUUUUCAAACCCGCUAGUGGUAGGGACAGGUAGACCCGAAAUUUUUUUCUGAUUGAUUUUGAUAUAUGGAACGUUGAAAUCGGAGUUCGUACGCGAAUGUUAUGCUAUUUUACGAACGGACUCCAAAUUAGAGAACAAAACGGUCCGAAAGUGGGAAAAAUUUGCGGCGAUGGCUAGAAAUUGAUGAAAACGGUGGGGAAAAACAUACUAACUGAACUCUAACAAGACCCAACCAGCAACAACCUCGAUCAGGACACAAACUCAAAACUGCGGACUCUCAAUCUAAAAUAUGUAAAAGCUAUGGCGCGGAAGGGUUGUAGAACAGGAAAACAAUAUGGCACUGGACUUAUGGGACGAACACAAGAACACUAGAAACUAUGAGUAGUUGUGAACCUAGCGGUAUACCUAAAGCUUUGAUUAACACUUGAUGAGAACAAGGGUGGCCCGAUCUUCCGAAAAGUUCUGUUAACUCUCGAUUUGGUGGAGACGAGACACAAAUCGAUACAGCUUCUGAACAACACGAUUCGAAACCCUAUAUUUUUUUAUUUUUUUUGAUAUUUUUAUUUUACUUAGGAGUGCUAAAGGAGUAACCACAGAAAAUUUGAGCUUAAGCAAGUGAAAGACAUGGCCUGUGGAAUUUUCUGAAGAUUGUGAAAAAUAUGAAAAAACUUCACGUAUUAGAAACUCAAACUUCGGAGGCGAAUUUUAGGAUUCUAAAAGUGUCAAACCCGCGAAACUUAGGGACAACCAGAUCUGAAUUUUUUUUCUGAUCGAUUUUGAUAUAUGAAACCUUGAAAUCGGAGUUCGUAUGCGAAAGUUAUGGCUGUUUUACGAGCAGACUUCGAAUUAGAGGACAAAACGGUCCGAAAGUGGAAAAAUUUUGCGCCGGUGGCCAGAAAUUGAUGGAAACGGUGGGGAAAACACAUGAACUGGACUCUAACAAGACCUAACCAGCAACAAGACCUCGACUAGGACACAAACUCAACACUGCGGACUCUGAAACUGAAAUAUGCAAAGGCAAUGGCGCGGAAGGGUUGUAGGACAGGAAAACUAUAUAGCACUGGACUUAUGGAACGAACACAAGAACACUCAAAACUAAGGGUAGAUGUGAACCUAAUGGUAUACAUGAAGCUUUGAUUACCAUUUGAUGAGAACAAGGGUGGCCCAAUCUUCCGAAAAGUUCUAGUAACUCUCGAUUUGGUGGAGACGAGACACAAAUCGAUAUGGCUUCCGAACAACACGAUCCGAAACCCCGCAUUUUUUUUAUUUUUUUAAUAUUUUCCUUUUACUUAGGAGCACUAAAGAAGUAACCACAGAAAAUUUGAACUUAAUCGAGUAAAAGACGUGGCCUGCGGAAUUUUGUGAAGAUUACAAAAAAUGUGAAAAAAACUUCACAAGGUGAAAACUCAAACUUCGAAGACGAAUUUGGAGAUCCUAAAUUUUCAAACCCCCUAAAACCGAGGACAGACAGACACUAUAUUUUUUCUGAUCGAUUUUGAUAUAUGGAACAUUGAAAUCGAAGUUUGUAUGUGAAAGUUAUGGCUGUUUUACGAACGGACUCCGAAUUAGAGGACAAAACGGUCCGAAAGUGGGAAAAUUUUGCGGCGGUGGCAAGAAAUUGAUGGAAACGGUGGGAAAAACACAUGAACUGGACUCUAACAAGACCUAACCAGCAACAAGACCUCGACCAGAACACAAAAUCAACACUGCGGACUCUGAAACUAAAAUAUGCAAAGGUUAUGGCGCGGAAGGGUUGUAGGACAGGAAAACGAUAUGGCACUGGACUUAUGGGACGAACACAAGAACACUCAAAACUAAGGGUAGAUGUGAACCUAACGGUAUACCUGAAGCUUUGAUUACCACUUGAUAAGAACAAGGAUGGCCCGAUCUUCUGAAAGGUUCUGGUAACUCUUGAUUUGGUGGAGACGAGACACAAAUUGAUCCGUCUUCCGAACAACACGAUCCGAAACCCUGCAAUUUUUUUAUUUUUUUGAUAUUUUUCUAUUACUUAGGUGCACUAAAGAAGUAACCAUAGAAAAUUUGAGCUUAAACAAGUGAAAGACGUGGCCUGCAGAAUUUUUUGAAGAUUGCGAAAAAUGUGAAAAAAACAUCACGAGGUGAAAACUCAAAAUUUGGAGGCGAAUUUGGAGAUUAUAAAAUUUUCAAACCUGCCAAUAGCGAGGACAGACAGAUCCGAAAUUCGUUUCUGAUCAAUUUUGAUAUAUGGAACGUUGAAAUCAGAGUUCGUAUGUGAAAGUUAUGGCUCUUUUACGAACGGACUCCGAAUUAGAAGACAAAACGGUCCGGAAGUGGGAAUAAUUUGUGGUGGUGGCUAGAAAUUGAUGGAAAUGGUGGGCAAAAACAUACCAACUAGACUCUAACAAGACCUAACCAGCAACAUCCUCGACCAGGACAUAAACUCAAAAUUGCGGACUCUGAAACUGAAAUAUGCAAAGGCUAUUGCGCGGAAGGGUUGUAGGACAAGAAAACGAUAUGGCACUGGACUUAUGGGACGAAUACAAGAACACUCGAAACUAAGGGUAGAUGUGAACCUAACGGUAUACCUGAAGCUUUAUUACCACUUGAUGAGAUCAAGGGUGGCCCGAUCUUUCGACAGGUUCUGGUAACUCUCGAUUUGGUGGAGACGAGACACAAAUCAAUGCGGCUUCCAAACAACGCGAUCUGAAACCCUGCAAUUCUUUUAUUUUAUUGAUAUUUUUAUUUUACUUAGGAGCAUUAAAGAAGUAACCAUAGAAAAUUUGAGCUUAAACAAGUAAAAGACGUGGCCUGCUGAAUUUUCUGAAGAUUGCGAAAAAUGUGAAAAAAACUUCACAAGGUGAAAACUCAAACUUCGGAGGUGAAUUUGGAGAAUCUAAAACUUUCAAACCCGCAAAUAGCAGUGACAGACAGAUCCGAAUUUUUUUGAUCGAUUUUGAUAUAUCGAACAUUGAAAUCGGAGUUUGUAUGUGCAAGUUAUGGCUGUUUUACGAACGGACUCCGAAUUAGAGGACAAAACGGUCCGAAAGUGGGAAAAACUUGCAGCGAUGGCUAGAAAUUGAUGGAAACGUUGGGGAAAAAACACGAACUGGACUCUAACAAGACCUAACCAGCAACAAGACCUCGACCAGGACACAAACUCAAAACUGCAGACUCGGAAACUGAAAUAUGCAAAGGCUAUGUUAUGAUUUAAUCUUUUUAUUUAAGUGUAAAUUCAUAUCUUUUGGGUAUACUGCUCCAACUGCUGUGAAAAUUUUAUGGUAGGCUCUGAGUGAUAUGAGAAUGCUAUGUUAAAUAUUUCAUGAUUUUUGGAGUACUGUAUCUUUGAUAUGUAAUUUUUAUUUGUGAUAUGGCUUGUUUCCAUAUUUAAAUCAUAAUAAAUGUUUGAUGUAAUUUAUGUUAAUACUAUGGCCUAAAUCCAUGUUUAAAUCAUAUUAAAUGCUACAUGCUUAUGCUGGUAUUCUUCUUUUGUGUCAAGCUUGUUUAUAGUAGUAGUAACAUGUAAAUAAUCUGAAAUCUGUUGUUUGACACUAUUUAAGCCAUGAUUCUUAAUUUAUGAAAUAAGCACCUUGUUACAUGUUAAUUAAAUACCUUAAGUUUGGCAUGUGCAAUUGCUCUGAAACUUUUAUGGUAAUAUCAAUGUGCCUUGCUUGUGCUUCAGUAAUUUUUAUAGAGUUUUCUGAGCACUCUUGCUGGUAUCUUUUAAUUAUGUUCUUUUUAUAGAAUUAAAUUAAUAAAUACCUUUUUAUUGAGUGUUUAGUUGCCAACAUGUGGUUUUCUGGUAAUCUUAGGAUAUGCUUGUGCUUAUGAACCACUUGGUUGGUACUAAAUAUGUUUUUCUAUGUCACCAAAGAAUUAAUUAAAGGUUAUAAAGCUGUUCUGGACAGCAAGGGAGUAAUCUGUUUGUUGUCUAAUGAUAACUUCGCUUUCUGAAAGACUUGUCUAUAGCAAAGACAGUGUAACCUUUGUAUUCUAGCUGCAGUUUAAAUUUGGGGUCAUUUGGCCCAGUAGUUUAAAAGUUAUGGCUUUUCUAAGCUAAGUUCCAAACUAGGUGCUCUCUGUCUUUCUGGAACAAAACCUGGAACUUUGUUUAGUUGACCUAUUUAACUUAUGAAUCUUGUUGUGAUGUCUAAAGAUGAAAUGUAAACAAUUUCAUAAGCUUCCCAGAAUGUCCUCAUUCAUGUUUGUUGGGUCUAUAUAUCUUGAGUUAUGAAAUGUUGUUUGAGCUGCUCUGUUAAUUAGUUGUUGCUGUUAAUGGUAUAAGCUGGUUUGUUCUUGUUAGUUGAGGUGAUACUCUUUUGUGAGCUUAUAAUAGAAGCUUACUCCAUAAAUGAGUGUCCAGUGACGUUUAUAAUCAUGUCACCAAGCAUUCAUCAUCAUCUUGUGUGCACACAUUCCUUACUUAUCGUGCAUGCAAUAGGUGCAUCGGAAGUCGCAGCAUCGUUCGAGCUCGAGAGGGUGAAUCCCGAAGGCCCGGAGGUCACCUAGGAGACGGAGGUGCAGCCAGCAGGACAAGAGGAGCCUGAAGAGGAAGUCGAGAGCCCUAGUCACGAGCCUGCUUCGUUCGUGAAAGGCAAGCCCCGGAGCAUCUUAAGUCUCCCACUUUAAUUUCAAAGCAUACUUGAAUACUCCCUCCGUCCCUGAAAGAAUCAAUUCCUAGGAUCCGUGCCAGUCAAACUUUUUAAAGUUUGACUAACUUUAUAGAAAAGAGUAACAACAUCUAUAAUAUAAAAUACACAUUAUAUGAAAAUAUAUUUUAUGAUGAAUCUAAUAAUAUUAAUUUGAUACUAUAAAUCUUAGCAUUUUUUUCUAGAAAUUUGGUCAAAGUUUAAAAAGUUUGACUUAGGACAACUCUAGAAAUUGAUUCUUUCAGGGACGGAGGGAGUAUGUUAUAUCUAUUGAUGCAUUACGUAUAGGAGUUGUGAUGGAACCCUUGCUGCAUUAUACCUUCCCUUGUCCAGAUAUCUUAUUACUACCUGGUUGUAGAGUUAGGGUCGAGUAGCAACUUAGCCAUGCUUUAAUCAGUAGAAGUCGGGUCAUAUCCUGUCACCUGCGCGAAAUAGGGUCCGUUGUUGGAUCACGAUUGACUAUAUGUGCUAUCAUGGGAAAGAACCUGGUUAAAAUGACUUAAGCCGGGCAGAGUUUUACAUGGUGGUAGUAACUCCGUCUGUGCAGCUAAGGACCGAUCGUUGUACGUCCUCUUGUCAUGUCGAACGCAUGCCUGACACUUAGUUGGCCGGAUAACUCGUUCCGACCGCGAAGCCUAGUAGUAUGACUCAGGCCGGAAGACUGGAAAGUAUAAAGCGCGCACUACCAGAGGAAGUGUGGUGUGCGGGGGGCCAUUGGCGUAAGACCAAGGGCAGGUGAGUUAAAAGUCCUGAUCUUCCUGGCCGAGUGGCAGCCCUGGGAGUGCAGCGCCGAUCAGAGCCAUGAUUCCUGAGUCGUACCAAAGGUGACCCGCUUGCUCUCCGACGGGGGAUGCAUGGGUGAGUGCUAGGAAUAACCCUCCAGCUGGAUAGGAAUCGAUUUGAAUCGCUGUCUCUCCCGGAUAGUGAGAACUUGACAGAGCAGCGGCAAAUGUAGCAUUCACUAAGUACUAAUGGUUCUUAAUGAUGAUGUUGAGGAUAGCUAGAAAGAACAUAUGAUGGAACUUGAUAUGGUUAUUACUGUUUGCUAAUAAUCAAGUGAAGUGCUUAGUCUAGGUGCUAAUAUAGUGGUUGGCUAAUGAUAAUCAAUAUGAUGCUUUUAAGAAUGGUUUACUUUGCAAUCUAAGCUUUUUGGCAAAUUUAUGAGUCAAGCCAGCUACACUUUAUACUCAGCCUUGCAUGAUCCUUGGUGCCAGCUACACUUUAUACAUCCUCGUACUCAGGGUUUAUUCCCACCUAUUGCAGAUGAUGUCUUCUAUGAUGGCUUCUGCAAGACCUGCCUUCAUCCCGCUGGAAAUGAGGACUAAACCGUUGGGCGUGGUUCUCUAACAACUUCGUACCCUGAUGCUUUUGGUGGAUGUGAUGAGACUCUGGCAGUAACAAGAACUUAUGAAAUGUGUGUGUGAAAACUAUGUUGCUUCCGCUACUUCAAACUUGUGUUAUAAUAACUUAAGUAACUCCGAUGUGGUGCCGCUUCGUAGGCAGUGAAUGGACUAUGCAGCAAUCACUGUAUUGUGUUGAACUAUUAUGAUCUUGGUAUGUUGCAAAGUUGGUUUGAACUCCUUCGUGGUUUCGGUUGACUACCGGGAUUAUAUGGGCUCAAGUCUGGAAAGUUGAUUGCUAGUUCGAUCGUUUCUGCACUUGAACUCUUAUAAUUUGGUCGGUUAUGUGACAGUUUGUUGUCAAGAAGGGGAGAAUGAUGAGGACAUGACACCUUCAGAUAUGACCAUUGACUAUAAGAUGAGUUUAUUCCUACAUUUGUGAAAUAGUUUUUGGUAUAAUUCACUUGGUUUCACAUGUACAUGUUAUUUGUUGCAUGUAGGUACGAAUGUGUCUCAAAGUGCAAGGUCAUCAAAGCUGAAUUUUCAAUUCUCUAGUGGCCCGAUAGUGCUUUAUUGGGAAGGCCAUAACUCAUCCCUCCGGAAUGAGAUUGAGGUCAAUAAGCACUUGAUGGACAGCUUGAUUGAUAAGCUUUCAAAUAGAUUUGGUCCCACCUCAAUAAACAUUGACAAGGCCUUCAAAUUGUUAUUAUAUUCUAUUGCUAUUUCUGCCGAGAGCUACUUUAUCAUCAUGGACAUGUUUUUUAUUCUUGGGACCCUGACCCAAGUGGGAGCACAUCCCAAGGAGAAGGAGAAGCCACCAAGGGAGCCCUUGGACGUCCUCCUCCUUGUCCACCACCUUAGAAGGUCACUAAGGUCGUUCAAGCCAAGUCAGAGGCCCAAUCCAUAACUAGUUCGAGUCCAUCUCGCGCUCAACGACCAGUAUAUAGUAAAACAGACGUCCAGGACACAUCCAGACUCCAUUUUUGAUGAUCCACAUAUGGAUGGAAAGAUAAUUUCAUAAGUUAACCAAUGGCUUUGGUUGGAGGCCCAAAUUCAAUCGAGUCAACUAGAAUCAUCAAGACAAGUUGACUCUAGAAUCUGUUAGGGCGCUGCAUCACCGUCUUUUGGGCUAUUGGGCCUUGUAAUGUGUUAGGACACCUUAUGGAUGUGAAGAGGGGUCCUUAGACAUCCCUUUGGCUAUAUAAUAAGUAGCCACCACCUACAUUAGGGUUUGGGUUUUGCUUAGAUUAUUCUAUCAAGAACAGUUUUGCCGUUUUAUCGGUUUGUGAGACCCCAACUCGUGAGAUUAAAUAUUCAUGUGCAAAUUGGUUGCAUUCUUACUUGUUCUUGAUUGUGUUCUUCGAUUCACAGGCAAGGAUUAGCCUUCUUGGCAAGGUCUACCAUGCAGCACUGGUUGAUAACCAUAGAAGACGUGGUGCUAAGGUUGCAGGGUUCGGUUCUUUGUGAUCUAAAGCCGGAUCGGUGUGUCGCUCUCCAAACAAAUGGUAGUUUAUCUUGAACUUAACAGAAGAUCAGGAACCCUAUCCCCAUUACUUUGCGAACCAAACGAGCAAUUGCAAAGUGCAAGCCAUGAUGUCAUAAGCAUAUAAGACCCAAAUUCAGCAACCAAAGUCUCACAAGAAAAGAACUCUCAGAAAUCAUUCAUAUCAAUUGACACAUCCAUAAAUUUGCAACUAACACAAUGGCCCCUGGGGUACAAGUUCAAUAUGAUACCAACUUUUGAGGGUCAAUCUGAUCCAAGAUAAUUCUUGAUGAGCUUUGAAGCUGCAGUAAUAUCUAGAGGAGUAGACAAAACCGCACUUGCAAAAUCACUUGUCAUGGCAGUAAGACGACUAGCCCAACAGUGAUACUCUUCAGUCAAGGCAAAAUCCAUACAAUCAUGGGAUACUCUCAAAGCAAAUUUACUAGUUGAUUUUCAAAGAUUCCAGCUAGCUGGUCUGACAGACAUUGACCUCUUUAAUUGCAAGCAACAAAUUAAAUAGCCUCUAAGCUAAUACUUCAAAAGAUUUGUACAGAAGAAAGCUCGAAUUCCAAACAUUCUAGAUGAAGUACUCAUCAUAACUACAAUCAAAGGACUUUAGGUGGGAUAGUGUGCACCAAACUUGGCCUGAGAAAAAUCAUCCAUAGUGACAAAACUUUAUGAAGUCAUCCAUAAAUAUUGCAAGUCAGAUGAUGAUUAUAGGAAAAGAAUCAAGGAAAAAAAUAACUUCAAAAGUCAGGCGAAGCAAAACAACAAUAGUCUUCACAUUCCAAGCUCAAACAACUUUGAGCGAAGACCCUUUGCUCCACAUAAUCAAGUCAAUCAAAUAGAGAAUGACACCACAGCAUCCAAGAGCAACUUCACAAGCCCAAAUCACUUUAAUCAGCAAAGUCAAUAUCAUGAAAGGACAUUUGAAAGGAGCAGUUUUACACAAAGAGGAAGAGGAAGAGGAAGAACACCUCUCAAACUAGAAGGUAUGUAUUGCAUCAUCCAUGGCAAAGGGUCUGGUCACACAUCGAAGAUGUGCCCCAAAGUGAUGAAAAGCAUAGAAGAAACACAAGAUGAAAAUGGGGCAGCAAGCUGUUAAAAGUUGUGAACAACAUCAUACAGGAAACAUAAAAUCCACAUCAAAAUUAUUUCCCAUUGCAUUAUGGACAUUCUCAGGCAAUGUUGCCAGGACCACUCCCAACUUACAUCUAUGAACCUUUGGCAAUGUACCACCCAAUGCAAAAUUAAUGGAGGCCAAAUCAAGCUCAGCAAUCUAGCAAUCAAACAGCACAACCUGAGGCUUCGGUCGCCAAUAAUAAUCCUCAUCAUACUCAAGCCAAGCAAGAAAAUAGUCCACCAUCAACUUUAGUGAUGAAUAUCAAUGCAAUCAUCCUAGGCAGAUGAAGAAUAUUGACGAUCGCAAGAGGAAAUAGUAUGGAGUAUGAAAGCAACAGUCAAAAAAUAAAUUAUUUUAGAAGGGUUAAUUCAAUCUCAAUGGAAGGUCCAUUCAAAAAAACAAGAUGGUCUCAUUUGCCAAUAACAUUUUUAGAAGAUCUAUAACUAAAGGACUACCCACAUAUGGAUGCAAUGGUGAUUGAAACAAAUAUUGAUUGUUGGUCACUUUCAAAAAUAUUAGUGGAUGGUGGUAGUUCUGCAGACAUCAUAUUCACAUCAACAAUUGACACUAUGAAAAUUGAUCGCAAACUAUUGGGAAGAGUUGAGCAUCCACUUUUUGGCUUUGGUGGAAAACCAAUUCAUUCAAUUGGAAGAAUAGUUUUGCCCAUCUCAUUUGGAACUGUUAACAAUGCAAGAACAGAGCAAAUAGCAUUUGACGUGAUUGAUAUGUACUGUCCAUACAAUGCACUUUUUGGAAGAGGGACUCUGAACGCAUUUGAGGCGGUAGUAAGUUACUUCUACUUAUGCAUGAAGAUGCCAGCAAUAAAUGGAGUAAUCAUAGUCUAUGGUGAUCAAACAGAAACAAAAAAUAUCAAAAAAGAGUAUAUUCCCAGAUGGAAAAUGUACAUGUAAUCUCCAAAGAAGAAGAAAAAGAGAGCAUAGGAAGUGCAAUACAACAAUCAAAAGCCCAAGCUUGCGAAAAGACAAAAAGGGUACCUCUAGACCCUUUGAUCCUAGAAAAACAAGUGAUAAUCAGAAUGGGGCUCACUGUUGACGGUAGAUAAGUACCAGUUUUAUACCAACAAGAAAAUGGAAUAAGGGCAUAAAACAAUCACCAGCAAUUGAAUAGGGUUUCAACUAACAGAUUUCCAUAGGUUUUGGUGAAUGUCUAUUUCUACAGGGGGUUAUCAGGGCCCACAUGUCAUGAUUACAUAGAGAGAAACAAGAUAUCUACGCCAUGUAUGAAGAAGAAGGAUCUAGAAGAGUCGGGAAGCCACCAAAACGAAGGAGAACCAGAGGGCAGGUGGGGCCAUAGCGGCCAAGCAGGGCGCCCGCCCCCUGGUCCAAUCAGAAGCUAGGUCUCGGAUUGUGGGCUAAACCAACUUAGAGGAGCGUGGAUCUUCGUUCAUUAAGGUCCAUUUGAUCUAAGGGCUACGAAUCAUCUCACCGGCCUAUAUAAGGAGGGGUAGACCCUAGAGUUUGGAGGCAUCACAUAUCAUUCUCAUUCAUAUAAUUCAAUCUCUACCCUCAUCUCUCGAAAGCUCCAAGUUUAGAAGCAUAGCUACAUAGAAUAGAUCUAGUUGGAGGCAAGCAUUGCUUGGUUUCUAGAUCCGUCAGAGAGUUUACUCAGUAAUUCUUGUAAUCUUUCUCCUACUUUAUUCUAGUUCGUCAUUGUAUACAUUAUUUCAUCUUAUUAUGAAUGUGACAUUGAUCUAUUCUAUUAUAUUGGAUAUGACUUUGCUCUACUUGCUUAUAUUCUUAGUUAUAUUGUUCUUAGUUUAUUAUGAUUAUAUGCUUGGCAUAGCUAGUUUAGAUUUAUAUUCAAACAUAUGUUCGUAUAGCACUCGCUCAUUGAUAUGAUGGGUGGGUGGUCGACCUUAUGUAGGUGUGGUGCCUAUAUCGUGUUUGCCUAUGUUUGCACCUUAUAUUCUAGGCCAUGUGGUCGAUCACGGGGGUGACAUACCCGUUGAGUCCUCUGUAGUCCACCCUCCGAAUGUAGUUCUUUCUGUAGACACUAAUUACGAGGAGAUGAAUGCUCUGUUCUUGAUUUCCCUUAGUAAUGUCCAUAUGUGUAGAUAUAACCUUGCCUUGCUAUGAUUGCCAAGUAUAAUUGCACUAAUCAUGAUAUGCUUAGACUAUAUAGUUAGAUUAACAUAGGAAAUAUCAUCAUAGAUCAUUCUAAUCCAUGCUAGUGCUACAGACUAGAGUACUCUAGAGAUGCAUUUAUCUUCCUAUGUUUGUUUAUCAUUAUUAUUCAUUAUAUAUAUCUUUAUUAUGUACUUAACCCUGCAUUAAGAUAGAUAGAUAAGACAUGGUUGACCACUUGAGAAUACAUGCAAGUGAUAUCUAUUUCCUUGGCUAUCCUUCCCAUGGGUAAAAUUAUAAAGUACGAUACAUAGAACUUUCCUCGGUCAAAUGCCACGAUGGUAUAUAUCUGUGCGCUUGCGGAUACCCUAUUUUAUAUUCAUCAUUCUUAGAGAGCAUCGCAUAUUUACUACCACCAGUGUAUUUCUAGUGUCAUGCUGGGGAUGAUAACCUAGCCACUGAGGAUAUUGUCUUUAUUCUAUUCUUAGUAAGUGAAGCUUAGAAGUAACAACAAGCAUUUCUAGUGCCGUUGCCGGGGAAGGUUAUGGCUAUUCAAAGGAAUUAGAGACAUCACUUGCAAACCACUCUCAAUUGAGGAACCAUCAUUAUCUCUACUUAUGCAGGCUCACCCUUGUCUUUUGUCUAUUUAUGGAUCUUAUGCAGGGUCAUGUAUGAAUAGGUUUGACCUUCCAGAUAAUUUCAUUGACAAUCCUAAAGCAUAAAUUAAGAGAAACAGAGCUAAGUUAAAGGAUGUAUGAUCAUCACCGUCAUUAUCAUCAUCAUCAUCUAAGUUUGAAGUCUCAAUUAAUUUGGAAGGUCAUUCAAGCGUUGUUUGAAGUUUAACACCAGAGUUUGAAGCGAUGGUUGAAAGAUCACUUCGUGAGUUUUCUGCUCCCACCACUGACAACAUCCACACUAAACCUGUUGUCAAUGUUGGAGAUCAACCAUUUGAGCUCAAGCUAGCGCUAAUCAACAUGGUGCAAGCUAGUUGGUUUUGUGGAAAGACACACGAAGAUGCAAGUGCUCAUCUUUAGAACUUCCUAGAGAUAUGCAACACACUCACAAUCAAAAUAAGGAGUUACAAGAGAUGCCAUACUUCUCUGCCCCUUUCCAUUUUCACUCUUGAGAAGGGCAAAGCUGUGGUUCUACACUAAUAAAGACAAGAAUGUUACAUGAGCGAUUUGUUCCACUAAGUUCCUGGCUAAGUUCUUCCUUGUAGGCAAGACGAAUGCUCUGCGUGGGAAAAUUUCAAGUUUUCAGCAACACAAUGAUGAGACUGUCCUAGAAGCCUGGUAGCGCUUUCAAGAUUACAUCCUAGAAUGUCCUCAUCAUGUGAAGGAGAAUUGGCUCCUUAUGCAAACUUUCUAUCAUAGGCUCUCAAACAACACACAUGAGACCAUGGAUGCCGCUGCUGAAGGAGCAUUCUUAUUACUACUAUUCCUCAAGCCACUGCUCUUGUGGAAAAGAUGGCCUCCAAUCAAAGUUGGAGUGAAGAACAUACUUAGACCGACAAGAGAAGUGGAGGUAUGCACCAGCUCAAGGAAGUAGACAUUCUGAGCGUUAAGAUAGUCCUACCGGUGAAGAGUCUGGAUGAAAGAGCCAGUGAGAAGAAUACAUUCAUGCACAUCCAUGAUGCCCGCUUGACUUGUGAAGAAUGUGGAGAUACUAGGCAUUGAGGCAACUGCUGCCCAACACUCUAGGAGGAUGUGAGCUACCUCAACAACAACUACUACUACAAUUAUCCUCAACAAAAUCAUGGCAGGAAUCAAUAGAGGCCUAACUACUUAGGUAACUAUCAAGGUAAUAAUUUCAAUAAUUUUAGUCAACUACCUUUUGAGAGAGUUAGUUAUGAAUCAAGGAAAAUUAAUGAAUAACCCUUCUAAAAAAUAGCAUCUAGUGAUAAAACUUUAGAAACAAUCAAUGCUAGGAUGGAUAAUUUUGCUACUACAAUCAAGAAUCAACAUGGCUUUAAUAAAAUGAUUGAAUCUUAAAUAUCUCAAUUGAUAACUGUUGUUCCUCCCACUAACCAAGGAAAGAUUCUAGGACAACUGAAAGAAGUAGAAUCUGCAAAUCUUGUCGAUAUAUACAAUGUAGGGAGUUAUUUUAGAGCUACGUCAGCCAGAGAUUGGAAAGACGAGUCCUUGUCUGAAAAGAAAGGUGAUCCUAGAAGGCUGGUUAUCCCUAUCAACAUUGGAGGCAACCACUUCCCGAAAACUCUUUGUGACUUCAGUGUAAGCAUCAACAUCAUUCCCAAGGUUGUAUGAGAAACUUUAUGGAGAUCCAUUAUUAUAUACAACCAUAUGCUUGCAGCUUGGAGACUAGACAUUGUGCUAUCCCAAAGGCAUCCUUAAAGAUGUCUGCAUCUAAGUUGGCGAUUCAUGUCCUGCAGACUUUGUGGUGAUAGAGACUGGUGGAGACGAGAGGGCACCGAUUAUCUUGGGGCGCCCAUUCUUAAACACCGCCAAGGCCAUCAUCUACACCGACAAUGCAAAGAUAUGUUUCAACAUCAACGGAGAAAAGAAAUAUUCACAUUCUAGAAGCGUACACUCAAAGCUCCUGCACAUCCCCAAACACCGUACAACUACCAAAACUAUGAUGGAACUGAGAAGAAAAAGAACAAUCAGAGGAACAAGUACAAGGAACCAAAGGUUGAGACAGUAAGGAUGGCUAGUGUAGUCCACAAAGACCAUGAUUAUCUCCUUGUGUCUCCCCACUUGAUCAAGAAAGAAGAUCCAGGUGCACCAACCAUCGAAUGCACCAUCGAUUGAUGCUCCUUCUAGAAGGUGGUUUGCAACACUAGAGCAUAAGUCAACAUCAUGGCUAAGGUAACUUACGAAUUUCUAUAUGGAAAAAUGCAAUUGCAUUCCACUUUUGUACAGUUGUAGAUGGUGGACCAGACCUACUGAUUCCUAGAUGGGAUUGCCAAGGACAUACCAAUACAAAUUGAUGACCACUUCAUCCCUACUAACUUCCUAGUCUUGAACAACGGAGAAGAAGACCAUGAUCCACUAAUCAUCCUUGGAAGGCUGUUCCUCAACACCACUCGAGCUAUCAUCUAUAUCGGGACAGGAGAAGUUCAUUUCCAAUUCCCAGCUAAGAAGGUACGUCAAUAUUUCACUAACUAUACAGUGAGUGAAGAACCCUAGAAGAACAGAUCAAGGAGGCAUUGUUCUCAAUGACAAAAGAAACAAAUCUUGAAGAAUGGAUGGGCUAACUAUGAAGGAGAGGUGUCUAGAUAGGAAGAUCGAUACCUAGAAGAUAAUGUCAUGGAAGAAGUGAAAAAAGACACCAUUAAAGGCAAAGCCCCCUCAUCAAAGUUUACCUCACCAACCAAACAAGUAUGGGUUCAAAAAGCUAUAAUUAUUUCUGACACACCAGCACAAGAAGAGGCGCAAUUGGAGUCACCGAAGAAGCCAUCAGAGGUGAUUGAAGAAAGCUGAAGAGAAAAGAGAGGUCCUAUUUGGAGGACUCAAAACACUAAACCCUCACCAAAAGGUACAUUUGGCAAUUAUCCAUAUUUCCCUUUUUAGUACCACAUUAAUUUCCCUUAGAGCAUAUUUAAUUUCCUUAUGGUUAUACUCAUUUAUUUGAACACCCCUUUGCAUUAGAAAAAGAAAAUAAAAAUUUAUCAUACAUAGCUUUCCAAAAAUAUUAGGCCCCAUAUGAUGUACUUUGUGGUACACCCCAAAGGCACCCAUUAUGGCGGCAUAAAAAAAUCUCUCUUUGGAAAAAAUGUUAAGCCUCAUGUGAAUAACUUUGUGGCAAUCCAUAAAGAUUACACACCGUGGUGGCACAGAAAUAAAUUUACAGUCAGUCUAGUUACAUUUUUCUUUUUUUGCAUUAUAAAUAUGAAAAUCCAUAAAAAUAUAUAAUCAUUUUAAAACCAAAAAGAAAAGAUCCUAAAGAUUACAUGCUCAAUCAAUUGUGAAGUUCUAGACAUGCAAGGCUUAGAGGUUUAUCACUAACACUUAAUCAAGUUGCACAAGUUUGUUGUCUAUUUGAGCUUCAUAGAAUUUAAAGGGAUCAGACAAGCCUACGACCAGAGGAGGUAUCCUCACUAUCAGUUUGCUAUAGCAAGAGACUAUGCCAACAUCCAGCUUAGGGGAGGGCAUACCCCGUGUACUUAGCUAAGUAUUUCUUCCACCUUUUUAAAUUUGAACUUUAAAUUUUGAAUUUUAGUUUGUUUUGUUUAGAUUAUAAAAAUAAAUAAAAAGAUGGAUAACCAUUAAAACCCAAAUUAAGAUUUCCCUAUAUAUUUUCUAUGUGAUCUUAGAGUUUGCUUAAUAAAUAAAAGGUGAAGAUACAAGGAUUAAUUUGCUUAAACCAAACCAUAGAUUAGACUCGCAUGGAAAUGACGAAUAGUUGCUCUGCCAUAAUACUUUUUGAGUACCUAGUUUUCAACCCCGAAUUCUCCCAAGUUUUGGACACAACUAUUUGGAUUGAAGAUUUACUCUGAGCCUGAAACUUGUGGAUUGCAAUGCUUGAGCUUAAGUUUGGGUAGUUGACUGAUAUGAUAUGGAAAGGUUUUGAGCUGGUAUUUAUCAGGUUCCUAGAGACGCUAGAGUUAUGGAGAAUUUAUCUUUUGAAAACCAUAAAAAUGCUGCAUGAUGAGUUCCUAUAUGACGAGAGCUUGAAUUUCUACCAUAGCCAGAUAUACAUGCCUUGUAGACUAGGAAAACAUUUCACUAUUAUUUACUGCUUAUGAGCAUUGAAUAGAGUCAAGCUUUGUUGACCCUUAGGAACUAGUCAUGUAUUUAAAAUCAAGAUCACUUACACUAUACCCACUUAUGCUGCUUCUACCCUAGAAGUAUGAAUCAACCUCCAUUUUAUUUAGAUCCACACAAAAUUGUUCUACUCUUACACUCGGAGUGAACUCCAAAAAUGUUCCAUUCAUUUUAUCCCUUGCCAUUUAAUAAAGCUCCAAUUGUGCCUUAUCACCACCUUCCAUUGAAUUAUUCAGAAUAGAGAUUUGGGUGCUCUCCAAAAAGAAAGAAAAAAAUAAGAAAAAGGAAAGAGAAGAGGACAAGGUCCCAACAACAAAAAAAGAAAGAAAAGAAAAAGAAAAAAAGAGAAAAUUAGAGCAACCCAAACUCUCUCCAAAACUUCCAAUAAAGGUAGGUGUGUUUUGAAGGAGCAAAGUAGAAUUAGGAUUCCACUAUCACCAUCACCAUACACCCAUUUUGUAUACAUUUGUCGUUAUCCACUACAAUCCAUUCCACUAUAUAUUCCACAAUAUGCCACACACAUGCACAUCUUGAUUUGAUUGUAUGACUUGAUUCUUUGGAUCCAUUGUUUGACUUUACAAUAUAUGUUUACAAGUAUGUAUGUGUUGUCUCCCACCUAUGAGCUUCACAUAAGCCAAUUAGAUGUGGGGUGAGAGAGAGAGGGCAUCUCACUAUUCCUAUGCCAAAAAUACCACAUACAUUGAGAGAAGAGAGAAGGCAGGCAUCAUGAGUGCCUUAGAAAGGAUCCACAAAUCAAACCCUAAUUCAUAUUUUCUAGAGAGAGUUAGACAGAGAGGGGUCCCUCGAAUGGAUCUGUCUCUUUAGGGUGAUAGCAACAAGAGAGAUUGAGAAAGUAUAGGGUGAAGAUAGGAGUUGAGGAAGCCUGGCCUGUCGGUGCCUUCUUCUUCAUAUCUUCGGGGUCAGGUCUCCUAACCCAAGGGCUGGUUCUAGAAUCAUUCGGCAAUUCAACUUCUGAUACUAGUAAGUUAUUGUUCUUAUUGUUCUUUGGUUUACAAGUUUACUUUAUUCACUUUGCGUAGGGAAUAGAGUAAUUAUUCGUAUCGUAAGCAUGGUGCUUGGGCUACAAAUACUCAUAUAUACUCCCUGCUUGGCCAAACAUGUGGUAGCCUUUUGGGGGAAGUGACAAUCCUCUUCGAUCUCAGUAAUCCACAUCUCGUUAGGAGGUAAGGUAGGGUAUAUGGUACUAUGGUUAAGCACUCUCUGAGGUGUCUCUUUUCUCUAGUUACUCCCCUUAGAAUGAUAUCUACACACUUACCAUAGGUUAGAAGAAGACUGAAGAAAAAGUUCUCUCUAUAUCGCUUAAUUCUUGCUAUCUUGUCUUGCAACCCGUGGGUAGUAGUUAAGAUAAAAGGUUAGUCUUUUGCAUGCUUUGUCCUAGUGGUAAAAAAAUAAAUACGAUACUCUGGACUUAUCUCCCGGGUGAAGUGCUCACCGAUAUUCAUGUGCUUGCGGAUUAUUUCUAUUUGAUUCUUUCGUGUGCGUAACUAAUAUCAACAGCCGCCGUCCCCGAACUGGGGCGUUUUCCCCUAAUUUUGGAUCCAUGCAUCAACAACGUCUAUUUCAAAUGCGUGCUCAUCAAUGGCGGCAGCUCCAUUGGCAUCUUGUUUCGUAAUAGUCUCCCUGCCCUCUAGCUAGCUCAAGUAGAUUUGAAGCCAUAUGAGUUCAGUUCUGGGGCAUCCUACCGGGCCAUAGUUCCAUGCCUCUCGGCUAGAUAACGCUCCCUGUCCAGUUUGGUACUCUAGACCACUUCUGCACCGAGUUUGUAAACUUUGUGGUCGCCGACUUUGAAGGGACGUACCAUGCCAUUCUAGGUCAUUCUUCACUCACCAAGUUUAUGGCAGUACCACAUUAUUCAUACCUAGUGCUCAAGAUGCCCACCGAGAAGGGUCCUCACAGUUAGGGGCAACGUCUACACAGCUUACACCUAUGAGGAAGGAAGCUUCAAGAUCACUAAGGCCAUUGACCUCUCAGUUUGGAUGGCAGAGACCGCAAAUCAAGCAACACAGACGCCCUCCAACCAGCUCAAGAUCUCCGAGCUAUAGGCCCCAAGGAAGAACGUCAAGUCCAAGGAGCACAAAGAAAUUCAACUAGUCGAUGACAAUCCCGAGAGGACAGCUCUUAUCGGAGCCACCAUGGAUCCUAAAUAGGAAGACGCACUCGUUAGGCUUUUGAGGGACAACGUAAGCUAUGGACAACGUAAUCUUCUGACGAUGCGAUAUUUAUGUGAAAAAAACUUCACGAGGUGAAAACUCAAACUUCAGAGGCGAAUUUCAGGAUUCUAAAAUUGUCAAACCCACUAAGGUCAAGAACAGACAGAUCUGAAAUUUUUUUCUGAUCGAUUUUGAUAUAUGCAACGUUGAAAUUUGAGUUCGUAUGCGAAAGUUAUGGUUGUUUUAUGAACGGACUCCGAAUUAGAGGACAAAAUGGUCCAGAAGUGGGAAAAAUUUGUGGCGGUGGCUAGAAAUUGAUGGAAACGGUGGGGAAAAACACAUGAACUGGACUCUAACAAGACCUAACCAGCAACAAGACCUCGACCAGGACAUAAACUCAACACUGCGGACUCUGAAACUGAAAUAUGCAAAGGCUAUGGCGCGGAAGGUUUGUAGGACAGGAAAAUGAUAUGGCACUAGACUUAUGGGACGAACACAAGAACACUCGAAACUAAGAGUAGAUGUGAACCUAACGGUAUACCUGAAGCUUUUAUUACCACUUGAUGAGAACAAGGGUGGCCCGAUCUUCUGAAAAGUUUUGGUAACUCUCGACUUGGUGGAGAUGAGACACAAAUCGAUCCGGCUUCCGAACAACACGAUCCGAAACCCUGUAAUUUUAUUUUAUUUUUUGAUAUUUUAUUUUACUUAGGAGCACUAAAGAACUAACCACAGAAAAUUUGAGCUUAAACAAGUGAAAGACGUGGCCUGUGGAAUUUUCUGAAGAUUGCGAAAAAUGUGAAAAAACAUCACAAGGUGAAAACUCAAACUUCGGAGGUGAAUUUGGAGAUUAUAAAAUUUUCAAACCCGCCAAUGACAGGUACAUACAGAUCCAAAAUUUCUUUUUGAUCGAUUUUGAUAUAUGGAAUGUUGAAAUCGGAGUUCGUAUGUGAAAGUUAUGGUUGUUUCACGAACGGACUCCAAAUUAGAGGACAAAAUGGUCCGAAAGUGGGAAAAUUUACGGCGGUGGCUAGAAAUGGAUGGAAACGGUUGGAAAAAAUACACGAACUGGACUCUAACAAGAUCUAACCAGCGACAAGACCUCAACUAGGACACAAACUCAACACCGCGGACUCUGAAACUGAAAUAUGCAAAGGCUAUGGCGCGGAAGGGUUGUAGGAUAGGAAAACAAUAUGGCACUAUACUUAUGGGAUAAACACAAGAACACUCGAAACUAAGAGUAGAUGUGAACCUAACGGUAUACCUGAAGCUUUGAUUACCACUUGAUGAGAACAAGGGUGGCCCGAUCUUCCGAAAUAUUCUAGUAACUCUCGAUUUGGUGGAGACGAGACACAAAUCGAUCCGGCUUGCGAACAACAUGAUCCGAAACCCUGCAAUUUUAUUUUAUUUUUUUGAUAUUUUUCUUUUACUUAGGAGCACUAAAUAAGUAACCAUAGAAAAUUUGAGCUUAAACAAGUGAAAUACGUGGCCUGCGGAAUUUUUUGAAGAUUGCAAAAAAUGUAAAAAAACAUCACGAGGUGAAAACUCAAACUUCGGAGGCAAAUUUAGAGAUUCUAAAAUUUUCAAACCUGCUAAUGGAAGGAACAGACAGAUCCAAACAAAUUUUCUGAUCGAUUUUGCUAUAUGGAACGUUGAAAUCGGAGUUCAUAUGCGAAAGUUAUGGUUGUUUUAAUAACGGACUCCGAAUUAGAGGACAAAACGGUCUGAAAGUCGGAAAAAAAUUCGGCAGUGGCUAGAAAUUGAUGGAAACUGUGGGGAAAAACACAUGAACUGGACUCUAGCAAGGCCUAACCAGCAACAAGACAUCGACUAGGACACAAACUCAACACUGCAGACUCUAAGACUGAAAUAUGCAAAGGCUAUGGCUUGAAAGGUUUGUAGGACAGGAAAACGAUAUGACACUGGACUUAUAGGACGAACACAAGAUCACUCAAAACUAAGGAUAGAUGUGAAUCUAAUGGUAUACCUAAAACUUUGAUUACCACUUGAUGAGAACAAGGGUGGCCUGAUCUUCCGAAAGGUUCUAGUAACUCUCGAUUUGGUGGAGACGAGACACAAAUCGAUUUGGCUUUCGAACAACACGAUCCGAAACCCUGCAUUUUUUUUAUUUUUUUUAUAUUUUUCUUUUACCUAGGAGCACUAAAAAGUAACCACAAAAAAUUUGUGCUUAAACAAGUGAAAGACGUGGCCUGCAGAAUUUUCUGAAGAUUGCGAAAAAUGUGAAAAAAACUUCAUGAGGAGAAAACUCAAACUUUGGAGGCAAAUUUCAAGAUAAAAUUAUCAAACCCGCUAAAGUCACAGACAGACAGAUCUGAAAUUUUUUUAUGAUCGAAUUUGAUAUAGGUAACGUUGAAAUCAGAGUUUGUAUGUGAAAGUUAUGGUUUGUUUACAAAUGCACUCCGAAAUACAGGAAAAAACGGUCCAGAAGUGGGAAAAAUUUGCGGCGCUGGCUAGAAAUUGAUGGAAACGGUGGGGAAAACACACGAACUGGACUCUAACAAGACCUAAUGAGCAACAAGACCUCGACUAGGACACAAACUCAACACUGCGGACUCUGAAACUGAAAUAUGCAAAGGUUAUGGCGCGGAAGGGAUGUAGGACAGGAAAACGAUAUGGCACUGGACUUAUGGGACGAACACAAGAACACUCAAAACUAAGGGUAGACGUGAACCUAACGGUAUACCUGAAGCUUUGAUUACCACUUGAUGAAAACAAGGGUGGCCCGAUCUUCCGAAAGGUUCUGGUAACUCUCGAUUUAGUGGAGACGAGACACAAAUCGAUCCGGCUUCGGAACAACACGAUCCGAAACCCUGCAAUUUUUUUUUAUUUUUUUGAUAUUUUAUUUUACUUAGGAGCACUAAAGAAGUAACCACAAAAAAUUUGAGCUUAAACAAGUGAAAGACAUGGCCUGCGGAAUUUUCUGAAGAUUGCGAAAAAUAUGAAAAAAACUUCACGAGGUUAAAACUCAAACUUCGGAGGCGAAUUUGGAGAUUCUAAAAUUUUCAAGCCCGCUAGUACUAGGGACAGGCGCAUUAAAUGCCCUGGCUCUCAUGCGCGCGUCAGGUGGCGGACAGUGCGCCUGCGCUCGACGCCUCCCGAUUCGCUCGAGCCCUUUUCCGUAUUCGACGGUAGUUAGCGCUCGACCCCUGAGUGGUUCGCUCGACGUCUUUUCCGUCUUCGAGGCUGCGGCCGUCGAUGACCGCAUGACUUAUUAGAGCGUCGAGUUGAGGCCCUCGAUCCGUGCACGGGUAAUCUCGUUAUGGGCAUCAGUUAGGGUACCCCUUACUGAUACCCUCGACAGUAGCCCCCGGGUCUCCAUUCGAGCACUGGCGCUCGAGUGGAGGCUUUAUUUUGCGGUCGAAUUUCCGUGGGGAUGCGCGAGCGACCCCGCGGGGGUAGCCCCCGAGCCCUUGGAGGAGUUUUUUGACUCCUUCAAGGGUUAAAUUGCCUAACUCUCAGAAACGCUAUUGACACCGAUGGUGGAAGGUCCUGAUUGGCUUGUUUUGUGCGGGGGUUUCGACAUACUCUCGAUAGAGCGAGCGUCUUCCACCCCAAAUUGAGUUCCUAGCGGGUAGUCUAAGUGAGAACCUGUGCCCCUUUCGAGGGGGUCAGCUGUAGCCUGGAGGCAUUCUCAUAAAGCAGGGUCGAUGUGGUCGGGGAUACUGAUCUCAUUCGAUAGAGUCCAGCGGCUCGAUGCCUCCCGUCAGGGGGAUUCCACUCGACUGUCUCGACCCUACCUUAGACAUCCCUAGCGAGUCUUCGAGGCGGGCCUCGAUCUUCGACCACUCGCUGGGGAUCCUUGACCCUGGUGCUUGAGAUCGGCUGUCGAACCCUUUUGGUGGGCCAGCCUGCGACCUCUCGAGGCUUUCACGGGUACAUCCCUUGGCUUACAAGGGAAGGAAAGAGCCGUGGGCGGUUUGCCUUUUUACCCGUUGGGCGCGCCUUUUUAGGUGGGAGGCAUUACGACACUGUGUUGGCGUGGAAUUCGAAGCGACUCACCUGUGAGGAGGGAAAGGAUCGUUAGACGGCGCAUUUAUGGGGGGAGUUACCUCAUUUCUCGGAUCUGCCCGUUGGUGGACUGCUGCAUAUAAAUGUGCCUUGGCGUCGCUGCCGUUCUCCCUUCUGCCACCCGUGUUCGUUCUCGCCUUAGCCCUCUCGUUGCCUUACUUCUCUUGCUGUCUCACACGCGCGCGCAACCCCUCAAGUGGUAGCGGAUCCACCGUCCUUCCAGCCAAGAUGCCUGUGGGACUCAUCGCCGCCGACGACUGGCGCCCGUCGUCGAUGACGGAGCGCCGGUUGCUAUAGCUUGAGAGAGAGGGACUCCUGCAACGCCGCACCUCGCUAUCGUCGCCAGAGUGGAUCGCGCCGCCGACGGACCAUAGGGAGCCUCAGCCGCCUGAGGGCUACGUGGUGUCGUUCGCUGAAUUCCACCACCACGGCCUGGGUGCUCCUCCGAGCCGCUUCAUGCGGGCGCUCUGCCUCCACUAUGGGGUGGAGCUCCAGCACUUCUCCCCGAAUGCCAUCACCGUCGCGGCGGUCUUCGCCGCGGUGUGCGAGGGCUACCUGGGGAUGAUGCCCCACUAGGAGCUGUGGCUCCACCUCUACAGGGGCGAGAAUUUCAACGCCCCCACCGGAACCAUUGGCGUGAGGAAGCCCGUGCGGGCGGGAUGCCUCAAUCUCGUGCAGAAGAUGGGGAAGACGGAUAGGCCGCGUGAGUACAUCCCAGUGGGGUUGUCGACUAACCACGCCGGCUGGGACUCCCAGUGGUUUUAUCUGCGGAACGACGACAACCUCCUGCCCGCUUACUCCGGUCGCCUGAUCACGGAGCGUCCAGCGGACUGGACAUACGGCGUCGUCCAAGCUCAUCAAUCGUGGCUCAACCCCCUCCUCGACGCCCUGAAGAAGCUUCGCCUGGAGGGCUUGACUGCCGCUCUCGUCCUCUCGGCCGUCCAUCACCGGAGAUUUCUCCCAUUGAUGUCUCGACCGUUGAGGAUGGACGAGAUGGGCCCUGGUGUUUCAUCUCGGGACCUCGAGGCGUGCCGGAUGUCCAACGAGGCUCUGACGAACGACGAAGUCGCGGCCCGGGUCAGGGCCGCAAUUGCCGGUGACUUUUAGCCGGAGCACGUUAACGGUUUCCCCAUGAGGCCUGAUGCGGGCUCGAUCGAUCUGGUAUGCUCUCUUCUCGUGCACAGCUUCGAUUCUGGGUUUCUUUCUUCCCUUUUUCUAAGUCUACCUUUGUUCUGGCAGGGACGGAUUGAUGUCCGGUCCUCGAGGCCUCCAGUAAAGGAGGACGAGGUCGACCGCGAAAAACGGCUCCAGUCCGCCAAGAAACUGAAGUCCGCCAAGGACUCUAAGAAGAAAGGAGAGAAGAAGAGGAAUCUCGACCGCCAAGCGCUAGAUGCGCGUCGAGCUAAAUCCAGGCAGAGGGGGGAGCCUGAGGAAGAAUCCCCCAGCGACGAUGAUGGUGGAGAUGGUGAUGAGGACAGCGACGACUCCGAGGGGAUGGCGUCUCGCCUCGAUCGGAUCCUCGAGGGUCCGCCUCGAGGCGACGUCGACGCCCCACGGGUGGAAGCACCAAAGGAAGGACCGGGCGGAUCUCACCGUCCUCGCGCCGACACCCCCAUUGUGCCCGCGACUGGUCAGGUCGCCCCAUGUCCUCCCUCUGCGCCCAGGACGGGUAGCCAUGCUAGGCCUCAGGCGACGGGGCCACUGACUCGCGGUCGCGCCGCGGCCUCCGAGAAAGGAGAGACUGGCCGCAGGAGCGCCGGUCUUGGUGCCCGCCAAGCGGAAGUCGCUGGGCCAAGGCCAGCGCGCGUCCUCGAGGGCCUGGGACUUUGACGCGGGGUGGCUCGAGGCCCACCGGUCGGGGCACCGGCAGGCGAGCUGUUCUCCCCGUGGGGUAAGCUCUUCGAUGCUGUGACUUCUGUCCUCCUAUUCCUCUGCGUUUCCUCGUAUAUCGGUCUUUUUAUGCUCGUUCCUUUUUUCUCAGAUUGAAGCGGACGCUUGAGCAGGCCCAGCCUUCAAUGGCGAAGAGGCUCAAAGCGGGAGCAGCCUCCAAGGAGCCAGGUUUGUAGCUUACUUUUGGGACUCGUGAUGCUCUUACGCUGGUCAUCAUAGUGACUGGCCUUUGUUUUUUGCUUCACAGGCUCCUCCGACCCUCAGCUGCCGACCGGCAUCGAGAGCGCCCCGCCUUGUCCCGAGUCUACCCCGUCACCGCCGACACGGACCGAGGCGCCCCAGACCCAAGGGCAAGAGGGAGCCCCCGAGCCUCCCCGAUCGGGGGUCGAGGGGGAUCCCAUUACCAUCAGUGACAUGUCUGGCGGCAACGAGACGACGAGGGAUGUCCACCCUAUGGAGGAGGAGGCGUCGACCUCCCUCGUCGCGGGACGGACUCCCUGGCCUGCUGGUCUUCGCGCCCUCGAGGAGCAGAAGAAAAAGGAGGAGGAGGAGGAGGAGCAGGAGCGCGAGGCAAGGCGGCAGCCGUAGGAGUAGGGCCGUUGACAAGAGUCGCUGGAGCUUGAGGAGCAACAGCAGCAGCGGCAGCAACAGCAGCAACAGCAGCAGCAGCAUGAGCAACAGCAGCAACAGCAGCAGCAGCCGUAGCAACAACAGCAGCAGCGACCACUCGAGCCCCCUCCUCAUAGUCCGCCCCAACCUGUACCACAGGCGCCGCAAGAACCCGGAGACCAGGAGGAGGAUUUGCCGGUUUUUGGUCCUCCGACCCCGGUGUGGCUCCGCCCUAGGGCGCCCGCCGCAAUCCCGGCAGAGCGGGGGCGAGCAGAUGGUGUGGGAGCGCUUGCCUGCAUGAUGCGUACCCCCGCCGACCCCGAGUCCAAGAUCAGGAGGACGAUCUACGGCAUGGACGGGAUCGCCCCAGGGUUCCUCCGAGAGCGCCGGGCGUGGGAGGACCGCAUCCUUGCCGAGGAGGAUGAGAUCGGGAAGUCGGGUAGCCAAGACGGUACCUGGAAGAUGGUGGACGACGACGGGCGGUUCCCUUCCCUCGUCGACUUGUUCCUGCGCCAUGGGGGAUCCCUCGAGGCUGUCGAGGACCUUAUUCGUAGCGUCAAGGCGUGGGCCGACUGGGAGAUGGAGAACUGGUGCCCCGAUCGGAUCCGCAUCCGGGCUUCCACCGACCCGUCCGAGCCCAACAUCUUCAAGGACGAUAGGAAGGAGGCGGAGAAAUGGGAACACAUCGAGGAGCUCCGCCUUUGGAUGAAGCAUGUGGUGGGGCUCCUGUCGAACAUCAUCAACAACGGGCUCGGGCCGGCCUACUUCGUAAGUAUUUUUUGGUCCCUAAUCCUCAUAGAUCUGUCGGUUUUGUUUUCUAACCGUUUGACCACCGGUUCGCAGGACAUGAAAGAGACCUCCUCCAUCAAGUCAAGCUUCAUUCACGCCACAAGAGGCGGCUGGGAGCAGCUCCACGUCCUCAAGGACCAACUCCUCGAGUCGCAGGAAAAACUCCUUAAGGCUUAUAAAGACCUCAUAGCGCUCGAGGAGGAGAAGAAGACGAGGGAGGCUGCCUUGGCCGAGGCUCGAGAGGCCUCAAGGAAGGUGGUGGAGGAGACGACGCUACUGCGGGAGCGGGCUCUGACAGUCGAGGAGGCCGCGUCCAAAGCCCGGGAGGAGGCCCUGUCCUAUAAGAACGUCAUUGCUGACUUGGACAAGGAGAAGGGCCUUCUCAAGACCGACCUGGAAUCCCUCCGAGACUCCUUUCAAAGGAUGAAGGUGGCAUACGUGGACAGUGAGGUCGCCAGGGGGGCCAUGGAGGAAGCGAAGAAGAAGACCCUCGAAGACCUCGAGGCGGAGCGGGCUCGAUCCCGCAGCCUCUCUCACGACGUCGACCGUCUAAAGGGGGAGCUGCUAGAGAAGAGUGGAGCUAUUGCACAGGCUGGCAAGGCGAUCGAGGAUCUUCGUGUCACCAACACUGAGCUGGCACGCUCCAACAGAGAGAUCGAGAUGGCCAAUACUAAAUUGGUUGGCGAGAACACGGCCCUGGAGGAGAGCAUCCGUGGUACAUUUCUAUUGUCGGAUUUCCUUUUCGAGGUGUGCUUGGUUUUUUCUAAAGUUUUUGCAUUGACGUUCACAGGGCUUAAGGACGAACUCUUGGCCACCCAAGUCGAGGCCCGCAAUGCUAAGUCCCAGCUCGAGGCGGAGGUUGCUUUGAACCAUCGAGUGCGGACGGUGAUAAGCGAUCUCUCGGCCUCUUGGGAGAUCAAGCCCAUGGACGAGUCGAGGGAGGACGUUCGAGGUGACGCACUGGUCGACUAGCUGUGCUACUUAGGCGCGACGCUGAGAUAUCGGGUGCGGGAUGCUCUCCACAUCGGGGUGAAGCGGGCGAUGGCAGUUGUCUGCUCAGGCUUCUCCUACGACAUGGAGGUGGUGUCCCACGGCUUCGUCACCGACAUCUCCAAGACCGACGUGGAGAACGAAGAAAGGCUCCACGCCUUGAUUGACGACGCGGAGGUUCCUGGAGAGAGGCUGGCCAAGCUGUUUGAGCCUGAGGUGCUUCCCCCUGAGACUAGCUCGGGCGCAGGCGAGGGUGGUGAGGACCGUGCUGUGGACUAAGGCCUGCGAGCCUGCUCAGGGUGCCUGGGGCCCCUUGUAUAGUACUUUGUUAAUCCUAUUUUCAAGUGAUAUAGUAUCUUUAAGUGGUUGUUAUAUGUCUGUCUGUCUUUUCUCUCGAGGCUUCUUUUUAUUCCUUUUUGCGCCUAUGUUUGUUUUUUUCUCACUUGGUCUUUUGUUCGAGGCGGUCUCGAUUGCCUCAAGGGUGAGGAGGCGAGUAGAGUUUCCAUAGCCCGGGGGCGUAGGAGUUCUCAGGCUCGUCGUUUCUCGUCCCUUAAGGGGCUCGAGGUACCUUUACUACUCAACCGUGUGAGAUUACCGAUAGGAAUGAAAGGAUUGCUAGAUUUUUUCCGGCGCUUGGGGGGGUCGCCCCCCUUGCUAGCCCCCGAGGGAGUGUCGACUAUGAUGGGUCGUAGUCGAUACUCCCUUCUAUCGUUGAGACUUAUGGAAAAGUAAAUCGCUCAAGGGAAAGACUUCAUUUAUUAAUAUAUUCCUUUACAAGGACUUGGUACAAAGCACACGUAGGAACAUAAAGCUUUGAAAUUCUAGGGGUAGAAUCGACGUAGCUGUUCGAUGUUCCAUGCGUUGGUGAAGACCGCCCCCUUUUCAUCCGCUAACUUGUAUGUUCCUGGCUUCAAGACCUCGGCCACCACGUACAGGCCUUCCCAAGGCAGAGUCAACUUGUGGCGUCCUUGAUUGCUUUGCCGUCAUUGCAGGACAAGGUCGCCCACGUUUAAGUCCCUCCUGCGCACGUGCUUGUCGUGGUAGCGUCGAAGCUUCUGCUGGUAUCUAGCAGAGUUGAUGAGGGCCAUGUCUUGAGCUUCUUCGAGUUGGUCGACCGCGUUUUCUUGAGAUUCUUUAUUUGAUUGCUCGUUGUACGCUUUGAGCCGAGGGGACCUGUCGACGAAAGCUAGUCGGCAGUCUACCUUGGGGUAUACCCACGGUAGUAGUUUAUCGGUAGACGGUGCGCAAACUACGAACUCGAUGGUGACGCAAGACACGGACAAGCUUUUUAUCCAGGUUCGGCCGCCGAGUUGGCGUAAUACAUACGUCCUGUGUCUGGUUGUAUUGAUUUGUGUUGAGAGAAUAUGAUGUCCUAGGGGGGUCCCUUGCCCCUCCUUAUAUAGUCUGGAGGGCAGGGUUACAGAUCUGGAAACUAAUCCUAGUCGGUUACAAUUGCCAUAGAUAAUUUGAUAUCAAUUCCUAUUCUAACCGACUAGAAUCCUGCUUGAUAUCCACGUCUUGUUUCCUUGCGCGAAACUCCGAGCUGCCGGAUCAAGCCUUGAAAUCGUCUCGUAGUGGGCCAAGCUUCCUGGCUGAAGUCUAGCCGUAAGGGUAUAGGGGUUUAUACCCCCACAGCUAGUCCCCGAGCACCAUGUAUUGUGAUGCAACACGCCGUCUUGAGCUUCAUCGAUCAGCAAGGCUUGGCGUCUUCAAUGAGCGGGAAGAUCGCCCAAGCAGUUGCAACGGUUCCUUGACCAACUCGAAAGACAGUUGAUCAACAUUGACAUCGAAGAGGCAGGUUGUUCAAAGAAUGCAUGGUGCUCUUAAAAAAAAAUUCUUUCCUGGUGAAGUGUGCCCACUUUACCUUUUUGAAAGGUAAAAGCAUCAAAAAAGCAAACAAAUUCACCGCUAGGUGAAGUGUGCCCACUUAGUCCCCGAGCCUGGUAGUAGGUGACGUAGGCACGUGGUGCCAGGGUCAAAAGAAAAUUCCCCAAAGUAGUUUUGAGACUGAGAUGCAUCGCUAGAUGCAUCGUACCGAUGUAGUCCCCGAGCUUGCUGGAAGGCGAAUUAUGAGCCUUGUAGCAAGGUCUAAAGUGAAUUUACCAGUCCCCGAGCAUGUCAUGCUCGCCUGCAAUUGAAAAGACCAAUCGACCAGUCCCCAAGCACUUAGUGUGCUUCUUGGAAUUAUAUGUUGCUAUACUGUACGACCAGUCCCCGAGCGUGGAGUGCUCAGUGGUCGGUGCAUGCUUUAAAGCUUUGAGCUGAUAGACUGAGCGACCAGUCCCCGAGCGUCGAGUGCUCGGUGGUCGGUGCAGUCCUUGAAGUUCCCAGCUGAUAGACUGGGCGACCAGUCCCCGAGCGUCGAGUGCUCGGUGGUCGGUGCAGUCCUUGAAGUUCCGAGAUGAUAGACUGGGCGACCAGUCCCCGAGCGUCGAGUGCUCGGUGGUCGGUGCAGUCCCCGGAUUGUUGACUCACUGGCGUAUGUGUCUUCUUACUUUUGAAAAGAUCUUUCCAGUUAAAGUUGACGUGACGAGGUCUCCUGACGAUAUGUCAGACGGAUGCAUGAAAAGUUGCACCUGGCAACUGUACAACCGCUCUUUGCAUGGUUUGAGAAAGGAAACCAUUAAUUGGUACGAAAACUCCGCCGCAUUAAUUGUCUAUAAUCAUUGUAAACCGAAACGCCGCGUCCGCCGCGCGGCCUGCCCACUUCCCGAGAAUACAGGAAGUGGGAGAGGUGGAGUCGCGGGUUUAUAAGGGCCUAAUAGGUCCGCCUGUACCGCUUCGCCUGCCAUUGCCUUCAAACCUUCCGCUCUCAUCUUCUCCAAUCUCCUGCAUCUUCCUAACUCCAGCCCACAUUCGCACCUCUAAUGGCGAAGAGCGACUCCAGGAAGAGGGCCGAACUGAUGGCCAAGGAAUGGAAGAAGUCUCGCAGCACCACAAAAUCUCUUGGUGACCUCGUCGAUAUGGGGCUUCUGCACGGCGCAGAGCUCGGCGGCUGGAGGGCGCCGGAGGAGGAGAGCUACCCCGACCCUCGCGCCGGUGAGAUCGUCGUUUUUGAAGAUUUCGUUAAGAGAGGCUUUGGUGUUCCUGUUCAUCCUUUUCUUCAAGGUCUUCUUUUGUACUAUGAGAUCGGGAUUUGCAAUCUGCACCCGAACUCAAUUCUCCUUAUUUCCACCUUCAUCCACCUGUGCGAGGCCUAUGUUGGCAUAGAGCCGCACUUCGAUCUUUUCCGGUAUCUUUUCUGCUUGAGGAAGAAGGGAGCAGUUGGAGGCUCCAAGGUUGCAGGUGGAGUAUACCUCAACCUUCGUGAUGGGAUGAAGAAUCGCUACCUGCACUGCCCAUGGAACACUUCCUUAACCGAAUGGUACAGGAAGUGGUUCUACAUCAGGGAGGAACCGGGCAGCUCCACGUUCUGCGACGUGGGAUACAUUCCCGAGAAGAGGGCGAGCUGGACCGACCGCCCGGAGUUCGACGGUCCAGUGGCGGAUCUCAUGAAGCUGAUCGACUGGUCGCGCCUAGACGGGCUUGGCGUGGUCGGCAACUUCAUUUGCCGCCGGGUGAUGCCCUGCCAGAAGAGGGUGCACUCGGCGUACGAGUAUGCCGGAAGCGCAGACCCGACCAGGAUGCGGUCGGAGAUCUUGGAGAAAGCGGAGGUACAACAGCUGUUGAACGAGCUGUUUAACUUCGCGGAUGGGGGCUUCAUCCGUGGCAGUGACCGGGUGCAAGCCUUCAAGUUAGGACGACCAGCACCAAAGGUAUGUAGCAGAUUCUGUUUGAUCAUUCGUAUAUCGUCUGCAGUUGACUCAUCUCUGUUGCUUUUGCAGGUCGGUGAUGUCGACCGGUGCGCAGUGUAUGUAUCACUGGCACCGGGGAUGCAAAAUCCUGUGGGAGAGGUCCCGCCAGAGGAGGACGCUGCUCGGUGUACCCAUUACACCAGCAGUGAGGAAGACCGAGCCCGCCCCAUCCCGACCUCCGAGGAGAGGGUAGCGGGGAAAAGGCCAUUGCCGGCAGAUCCCUUGCCGACACCGGAGCUGCCGGCAGAUCUACCGGCGGAGAGCAGCCAAGCACCGAAGCGUCGUCGGCUCGUGCCGUCGUUGGUCCGACGGCCUCGGAGCCGCCCAGACACUGCGCCGGUCGCCACUGAUCGAGUGGCCAGCGGCGCCGCUGCCCCGCAAGUUGUCGAGAUGGGGGCACAGGUGCCGACCGGCCGGGCGAGGAGGAGGUUCACCGCGACCCACCGUCGGUCAGACCUGUAAGUGUUCGACUUACGUAUUUUGGACUCCUCUUUUUUUUUAACUUUUGUUCCUGUAGUGCGGCAUCGGAUGUCGACCCUGGCCAAACUGCCAGCUAGGGAACGGGCGAGCCUGCCCGCGGUUCUGGGGAUGCGGCCCCCCAGACCACAGAGCAGCCAACAGCUGCAGUCGCGCCUGGGAGCCCCGGGCUCCCAAGCGCGGCGCCGACUACAACAAGCAGCCCGACCAGGGCUGGAGAGGCUCCCCCAACUGACUCCUCAGAGAAGGGAAGAUCUCCGACCGCUCCUCCUGCCGGGGGGAGUGAAGUCCCCCCGCCGCCCCGAGCAGGAGCCUCUUCGGCUGCGGGCUCCCCAGGUCUGGUCCAAGGGCCAGUAAUGCCUGGGACCACCACCGGGGGUGACGCAGCACAGGAGGAGGAAACCCGGGCGGCCUCCGAUGACGAGGUGGAAGAGAUCGAGGGUCGUCCCCGUGAUGGCCGCCAACACGUGUAUGUGUGGCGCCAACGCGGGGAUCACUUUAUCGGGCAUGAGGAGCUCGCCGAGACCGAAGAGGCCGCCAGGGUGGAGCGCGCAGCCAAGCGCCUCGUCGACGAAGUCAAGGUAAGCGGCUUUUUGUGCUGCUGCGCAUUCUUUUGCCUUGUCUUGCAUGGUCGUUAUAUGCUUGCUUUGUAGGACGUAAUGAAAACGGCGAAGUACCGGAAACGGUGCUUUGACCAGAUAGAAGGCGUCAUGGCCGAGAACAAGGCCCUUGCCGCGGAGGUAGACCGGUUGCGGGCAGAGGUCGGGGAGAAGGUGGUCGAGGUGAGUGCCGAAAAGGAGCGUCGUCUCGACCUCGCUCGUCGUUUGGCCGACCAGUACCGGCUGCAAGAAGGUUAGUCACACGCUCCGAGCAGCUUCGCGUACUUGUAUAGUUUGCUUUGCUGACCAGUUUAGGAAUCACGCAGACUUGGAGGAGGAGGUGGCGAGCCUCCGACAAGAGAAGGAGCAGCUCAGCCAACAGCUCGCCGGUGCGCUGGAGUCCGGGCGGCGAGCAGAAGAGGAAUUGGGUCGAAAAGACCGGGAGCUAUCUGGUAAUGGGUGCCGCCUUGUUGGUUGCUGCCUGCCCCUUUAUUUGUCUGGUAUGCCGAAAGUAACGUUUCGUUUCGUUUGCAGUGCUCAAGGUGAACACCAAAAAGCACCUGGAUGACCUGAUCAAGGACCGGGACUCCUGGAAGGUCAACUGUUGCAGGAUCUGGAAAGGAGUGUCCCCGGUCCUAGACCUGAUCAGUCCCGAGCUCCCGGAGAGCCAGCCCCGCGUGCCGCAGUUGACCCCGGUCGAGAAGGCGCAACGGGCGUGGGACUGGCUCCAGCAGUUUGUGAAGGACACCGGGGAGUUUGCCGGCGCGCACGUCCUCAGCAUGGUGCGCGCCCACUACCCCCUGGUCGACUUGAGCAGGCUGGAGAAGGGGUACCCGAAGGAAGUCGGCCCACAGGAAGCGGACGAACUUCGGGGUAAUCUGCUGGACUUGUCGUCGACAGUGAUCGGCGACAUCAAUCUGUGCGGAACGGCCACUCCUCCAGACCAGCCGAGCUCAGAUAGGUCGGCCAGGGAGUUGUCGGGCGCGUCCGUUGCGGGAGAUGGGCGGUCGACGCCUGCGGUCUCGACCAGCCAGGCGCCGGUGGCCCCGACCCCUUCGUCCGGGCAGCAGGGCCAGGCGGGUGAUCAGCCCGAGCAGCUAGGCCAAUAAAGUAGUCUGUAGGAAUAGACUAGUGUUUGCCCGUCAGGGUAUUUAUUGUAAACUUUGUAUGUAAAGUUUGUAAUAAAGUUUGCUUUUUGUCAUGACUGUUGUUUUGAGCGCUGUAAGAAUGUCUGAGUGACGUGUCACCGUAUUUGUCUUGGUUGGCGCUAAGAGCAUCCGUUGCAGGAGUUUUGCCGAGUGCUGUGUGUGACAAGGUAUGGGCCAAAAAUAGAGAAUUUCAUUAUCAAAAAUUAUAAGAUACUUACAAAAGAAAGUCAUUAAAACUUUAUGGAUAGAAACGUCGCAGUUUGUCGAUGUGCCAAGAGUUAGGCACUCGUGUUCCGUCUGGGUAUGCCAAUCUGUAGGACGUAGGUCGUGUGACCUCGGUCACUACGAAGGGUCCUUCCCAGGGAGUGGAUAGCUUGUGCAUUCCCUCCUGGCUUGUUUUCCAUCGAAGCACCAGAUCGCCGACCACGAAAGAACGGUCCUUGACAUUCCUGUUGUAGUAUCGCCUGACUGCUGCGAGAUAUUUUGCUGUUCGGAGACACGAAACUAAACGCUUUUCCUCCAUGCAAUUGAUUUCGAGUCCUCUGGCGUUGUCGGCGGUCGCCUGGUCGAAGUGCUCGAUUCUAGGAGAUCCGAAGUGUGUGUCAGACGGCAAGACCGCCUCUGCACCGUACACCAUGAAGUAGGGAGACACCCCUGUGUUUCGACUGGUCUGAGUUCGGAGGCCCCAGACCACUGCCGGCAAUUCUUUCAUCCAUCGACCGGGUGCUCUGUCGUUUUCGGUGUACAACCUUUUCUUUCGGGCGUCGACGAUCAUUCCGUUAGCACGUUCAACUUGACCGUUGGCACGUGGAUGUGCCACUGACACAUAUUUUAUGACUAUGCCUCUGUCAUCGCAGAAAUCCCAAAAAGUGGUGCCAGUAAACUGAGUGCCCAGGUCGGUGAUUAUGCUGUUCGGGAUGCCGAAUCUGUGUAUGAUUUGAUUGAGGAACUCCACAGCCUUCUCGGAGGUUGCCUUGACCAGGGGCAUGUAUUCAAUCCACUUGGAGAACUUGUCGAUUAACACGAAGACAAACUUGAAAUUGCCCGGGGCUGGUUUAAAUGGUCCGAUCAUGUCAAGCCCCCAGCAAGCAAAGGGCCAAGACGACGGGAUGGUUUGAAUUUCAUGGGCAGGUACGUGGGUCCUCUUAGCGAAAAACUGACAUCCUUCGCAAUGCCGAACCAGUUUUUCUGCGUCGCCGACCGCGGUUGGCCAAUAAAAACCUGCUCGGAAAGCCCUUCCGACCAGCGUUCUAGAUGCGGCGUGGUUGCCGCAGGAUCCGGCGUGUAUGUCCUCCAAGAGCUUGAUACCAUCAUCUUGGGGUAUGCACUUGAGCAGUACUUCGGAGCUUGCGUUUUUCCGCAUGAGUUUUCCGUCGACCAGGAUGUAGUUCUUUGAUCGUCGGAUGAGACGCUCGUUCUCUGUUUUGUCCUGAAAGCCUGUCCCGUCUGAUAUGUAUUUGAUGAACGGGGUACGCCAGUCACGCCCACCGGUUGUCGGAGUGGCGUCAUCUAUGAGCAUUGCCUCGGUGGGUUGCUUGUCGACCAGGGGGGAGCUUACGCUCGGCUCAUGGAUGUCCUGGACGAAAAUACCCCGCGGGAUUUGGGCCCGAGAUGAGCCUAACUUUGACAACGCAUCUGCUGCUUGGUUCUUAUCCCGGACCACGUGGAUGUACUCUAUGCCAUAGAAGUUAGUUUCCCAUUUGCGAAUUUCUUUGCAGUAGAGAUCCAUCUUCUCGUGGGUUGCGUCCCACUCCUUGUUGAGCUGGUUGAUGACCAAAGCGGAGUCGCCGUAGACAUAGAGGCGCUUGACCCCCAGUUCGACGGCUAGUCGUACGCCAUGUAAGCAUGCUUCGUAUUCAGUGACAUUGUUUGACGCCGGAAAAAGGAUCUGAAGGACGUAGCGGAGUUUGUCCUUGUUGGGUGAUACGAACAAUAUCCCAGCGCCUGCACCGUUGAUGUUCAAGGACCCAUCAAAGAACAUUGACCAGUGGUCUGAGACGUCUGGAACGGAAGGCUCGUUGAGAUCCGUCCAUUCGGCAAUGAAAUCGACCAGGGCUUGAGACUUGACAGUGGUGCGACUCUGGAACUCUAGGGAAAAUGGACAUAAUUCCAUUGCCCAUUUCACGAUUCUGCCAUUGGCGUCUUUAUUGCGCAGGAUGUCCCCGAGAGGAAAGCUGGUUGUCACCAGGACUCGAUAGCCGUCGAAGUAGUGCUUCAGCUUUCUUGACGUUAUCAGGAUGGCGUAUAUAAGCUUCUGUAUUUGUGGGUACCUGGCCUUGGAUUCGUUUAAAACUUCGCUUAUGAAGUAAACGGGUCUCUGGACCUUGAAGACGUGACCUGGUUCAUCUCGCUCGACCACUAUUGCCGUGGAAACAACCCUGUCGGUUGCAGCAAUGUAAAGGAGUAGGUCUUCAUUGGGCUGAGGCGCUGUGAGGACAGGCGGUGAAGUGAGGAAGGUCUUAAGCUGAGUGAACGCAGCGUCGGCUUCCUCUGUCCAAGAGAAUUUUUCUGACGCUUUCAGUAGUUUGAAGAAAGGGAGGCCUUUUUCUCCCAGCCUUGAGAUGAAACGACUGAGGGCGGCCAUGCAUCCGGUUAGCUUCUGAAUAUCCUUGACGUUCUUCGGUGGUCGCAUGUCGAGUACGGCUUUGACUUUUGAAGGGUUUGGUCGUAUGCCGUCGCGACUGACGACGUUGCCGAGCAGUAGACCGGAAGGAACGCCGAAAAUGCAUUUCUUGGGGUUGAGCUUCCACUUGUACCUAUUGAGUGCCUUGAAGGUUCGGUCUAAGUUGUCGAUUAGGGUGCUCGCGUCCCUUGUUUUUACGACCACGUCGUCCACAUAGGCCUCGACGAGGUCAUCGCGAAUCUCGUCGUGGAGGCAUUGCUGGAUGGCCCUUUGAUAAGUGGCCCCAGCGUUUUUAAGUCCGAAAGACAUGGUAGUGUAACAGUAUGCGCCGAAGGGUGUGAUGAAGGAUGUUUUGAUCUGAUCUUCUUCCUUUAACGAGAUCUGGUGAUAACCAGAGUAGCAAUCUAGAAAGGAGAGGAGUUCGCAUCCGGCCGUUGAGUCGACCACCUCGUCGAUGCGAGGAAGACCAAAAGGAUCUUUAGGACAGUGUUUGUUGAGAUCGGUGUAAUCAAUGCACAUUCUCCAUUCAUUAUUCUUUUUGCGUACAAGAACCGGAUUGGCGAGCCAAUCGGGAUGAUACACUUCUUUUAUGAAUCCGGCUGCUAGAAGCCGUGUUAUUUCUGUCCUAAUAGCCUCCUUUUUGUCACGAGCGAACCGUCGCAGUUUUUGCUUGAUUGGUCUUGCGGUCUUCGAGACGUUUAAGGAGUGCUCGAUCAGGUUUCGUGGGACACCGGGCAUGUCUGCGGGUUUCCAUGCGAAAACGCUCACGUUGUCCCUUAGAAACCUGACGAGCGCGUCUUCCUAUUUUGGAUCCAGGUUAGCCCCGAUGAGGGCUGUCUUCUCGGGGUUGCCUUCGACCAGCUGCACUUCUUUGUGCUCCUUGGAUUUCGAAUUCUUUCUGGCUGUCUCCUGCUCAGGUAAUCGGAGCUGGUCGGGAGGCAGCUGUGCGGCUUGGUUUGCUGUUUCCGCCAUGCGGAUUGAGAGGUCCAUUGCCUCGGUGAUCUUGAAGCUUUCUUCUUCGCAGGUGUACGCAGUGUAGACGUUGCCUCUGAUGGUUAGGACACCCUUCUCCGUGGGCAUCUUAAGGACUAGAUAUGAGUAGUGCGGGACUGCCAUGAACUUUGUCAGCGAUGGGCGGCCCAGUAUGGCGUGGUAGGUCCCGUCGAAAUCCGCGACUACGAAGUUGAUGAACUCCGUCCGGAAGUGAUCGGGUGUGCCAAAUUGUACAGGCAAUGUUAUCUGUCCGAGGGGCACCGAACUUUGACCUGGCAAAACCCCCCAGAAUUGGGCGUCGUAAGGUUUUAGUUGUGCCGGUGAUAUCUUGAGGGCGGGCAGGCUGUUGCGGAAAAGGAUGUCGAUGGAGCUUCCCCCGUCCACGAGCACGCGCUCGAAUCUGAUGCUAUUGAUGCAGGCAUCAAGAAUCAGUGGGAAACGACCCGGCUCUGGGAUAGCGGCCCACUGGUCCUUCCUGCUGAACGAGAUCUCCCUGUGGGACCAGGCGGGAAAUUUCGGAUCUGCGAUCAGCCCGUCCGUGCUGUCUAUGUUGAGGCAGGCUCUCUUUAACAGCUUUCUUUCUCGCUUGGACUCAGUGGAGACCUUGCCCCCGAAAAUGGAGUGGACCACGUCGGUGGGGCUAACGUACUGGUGUCGGGGGUCCCUGUCUUGGUCCUCAUCCUCAUCUUCGUGGUCGUGCCCGUCGCGUUUGUUAUUUUUCUUGGCGGAGUCCUCUUGGGCGGCCCGCCGUGUAUAGAUACUUUUGAGGACGCGGCACUCUUCCAUGGUAUGGUUAGACUUUGGGUGUAGCUGGCACGGUCCCUUCAACGUUUUGUUGUAGUCGUCUUGGUAGUCCCGUCGUCCGUUGGGACGUUUGACCGUAUUUACUUCGUGGUCGUAUUCACGAGGGCGCUUUCCUCUGAUGUCGUCGCGGCUGUCGCGCCGCCGAUCCCAACCCUCUCGGUGAUCGCGGUUGUCGGAGCGGCGGUGAUUUCUGUUGUCGUAGCGACCACGACCGUCAUCUCGCCGGGAAGGCUGGUCGGGGCCUCUCGCGUCGUCUCGGAUUAGUUUUUCUGCGUCAUCAGCAUCGGCGUAAUUUUUAGCCGUGGCGAGGAGCUCUGCUACCGUUGAUGGGCGCUUACGCAAUAGCUUGUUCCUCAGCGCUUCAUGGAAACGCAAGCCCUUGAUAAAGGCUGAUAUGGCCUCGUCAUGAGAAAUCUUCGCGAUUUUGAGGCGCAUAUCCGAGAAUCGUCGGAUGUAAUCGCGCAGAGGUUCAUUCUUCCUGUCUCUUAUCCUUUCAAGGUCAUACUUGUUUCCGGGCUGCUCGCAUGUGGCGAUGAAGUUGUCGAUGAAAGCCUGUCGUAGCUCUUCCCAAGAGUCGAAGGAGUCCUCGGGCAAGCCGAGAAGCCACUGAUGACCAGCCUGGUCGAGGACUACGGGGAAGUAGUUAGCCAUGACGUGCUCAUCUCCUGCCGCUGAUCGGAUGGCGAUUUCAUAGAGAGUGAUCCAGUUCUCUGGAUUUUCCUUGCCGUCGUAUUUUUUAAGUUUUUCGAGCUUGAAAUUGCGGGGCCACACGACCUGGCGGAGAUGUGAGGAGAACUGCCUUAGGCCCGGAGGACCGUGGGUCGCAUCGUACUCGAUGCGGCGCAGGUUUUCGUGGACUGCUCUCUCUGCGGCGCGCCUGUUGAUGCGGUCCCGGGCAUCUUUGGGAGGGAUGUUGUGGCGGAGAUCCCUGUGUUGAUCUUCUUCUUCUUGGCCGCGUACGCGGUUCUGCUGGCGGCGGCCAUCGGCGUCCCGACCACCAUCGUCGCGCCGUGAGUCCCCUCGACGGUUGUCGGGGGAGCGGCUGCGGUGACGCCUGCUGGGUGAGGCCCGGCUACGAUUAGUCUGGUCGGAGGCAGCUUCCGUAUAAGAGACGUCCUGGACUCUCUUGAGCAGAGUGGCUGUCUGUCCCAUUGCGGCGAUCAGGUGUGCUCGGAUGCUGGUCCGGACUCCCUGGCAUUCGGGGGUGUCAGGAAGCCGAUCCAGGUUAGCCAUGGCGACAGCCACGUUGGCGCUUGGCGUUUUGUAGACCGGCUGGUCCCCGACCAUGUCAAAGGCAUCGUUGAGGUUACUUGGUGGCAUCUGUUGUUGCUCGUCCGCACGCCGUCGGGCGCGAUCGGCGUUACGCUGUUCGCGGAGUUGCCUCUGGUCAUCUGUUUCUCCGUCAACAGCCGGUUCGUCGGCGCUGACAUUGAACACGAUAUCCCCUCGCCGGGGGGGGGGGGGGAUAUCGGGAAUCGGUCGAAACCCGGAGGGUGUGAAGGAAAAUCCAGGUCGUAGCCCUCGUCUUCGGUGUUUAUAACCUCGGUGGGGACGGAGCCGGUGCUUGAGUUGGUGCUGGAAACCUGGCCAUCCCGUAGCUCUCGGAUUGUCACCAUGUUGACAUGGUGACGAUUGUUCCUUGUCGGCGACCAGCCCGCUUUGCUGAAAACGGAUUGGACAUGCUGUGAGUAAACAGAGGCCGAGUUGUUCAGGCCGCAAGGAUAGUCUUCCUUUUUGAGCUCGACGGAUCGUCCUGAGGGGGUUGAGGUUAUCGUCAGGGACGUUCCCAGCCGUUCGUGUGUGGCGACACGAGUUGGCCGGCGGGAUUUCGAAAAAUCCGCUCGAGCAACUUGGUCGGGCCGGCGCAGAACUCCAUCUAUUAGUUGGGAGACUUCGAGUAGCUUGGAGUCAGCGCGAUCGAGCGCUUGGAGGAGGUCCGAGCAGUCGAUCUCCUUUCCCUUGUAGAGUGGGAACGGUGGUCGGGAGCUUGGUGCCGUCAUGCGUGUGGUCGGAGACGGCGUGAUCUCAGAUUGGAUCUGGAUCUCUUUCGGAACCGUGGUCGCGAAGCCGCCGCUGCACGUCGUCCUUGUGAUCUGGCCGACGGUGAACGUGAGGCCUUCGGGCACGGUCGCGGAAGCUGGGAUCGUGACCAUCUUGUUCGCCGGAAAAGUUGCACGCACACCCCCUACCUGGCGCGCCACUGUCGACGAAAGCUAGUCGGCAGUCUACCUUGGGGUAUACCCACGGUAGUAGUUUAUCGGUAGACGGUGCGCAAACUACGAACUCGAUGGUGACGCAAGACACGGACAAGCUUUUUAUCCAGGUUCGGCCGCCGAGUUGGCGUAAUACCUACGUCCUGCGUCUGGUUGUAUUGAUUUGUGUUGAGAGAAUAUGAUGUCCUAGGGGGGUCCCUUGCCCCUCCUUAUAUAGUCUGGAGGGCAGGGUUACAGAUCUGGAAACUAAUCCUAGUCGGUUACAAUUGCCAUAGAUAAUUUGAUAUCAAUUCCUAUUCUAACCGACUAGAAUCCUGCUUGAUCUCCACGUCUUGUUUCCUUGCGCGAAACUCCGAGCUGUCGGAUCAAGCCUUGUACUCGUCUCGUAGUGGGCCAAGCUUCCUGGCUGAAGUCUAGCCGUAAGGGUAUAGGGGUUUAUACCCCCACAGGACCCAUACUCGAGGUCUGUGGGGAGGACAGCCUCAGAGCCGUAGACCAUGAAGAAUGGGGUGUAUUUCAUGGCCCUGCUUGGCGUCGUCCUUAGGCUCCAUAAUACCGAGGAAAGCUCCUCGACCCACUUCUUGCCAAAUUUCUUCAAGCGAUUGUAGAUCCUCGGUUUGAGCCCCUACAAAAUCAUGCCGUUGGCACGCUCGACCUGGCCGUUAGUUCGAGGAUGGGCCACUGCAGACCAGUUCACACGGAUGUGAUGCUGAUCACAGAAGUCCAAGAACUUUCUGCCCGUGAACUGAGUGCCGUUGUCGGUGAUGAUGACGUUGGGGAUCCCGAAUCGGUGGAUGAUGUCGGUGAAGAAAAGGACGGCUUGUUCGGAGCGGAUGUUGGUGAUGGGUCGAGCCUCGAUCCACUUGGAGAACUUGUUGAUAGCCACCAGCAAGUGGGUGUACCCUCCUUUUGCCUUUUGUAGAGGCCCUACUAAGUCGAGCCCCCAUACUGCGAAUGGCCAUGUGAUGGGGAUCAUCUGAAGAGCGUGGGCAGGCAAAUGCGUCUGUUUGGCGUAGAACUGGCACCCGUGGCAUGAGCGUACGAGCUCGAUGGCAUCGCCUACGGCCGUUGGCCAGUAGAAGCCUUGUCGGAAGGCGUUCCCUACGAGGGUCCGUGGAGCAGCAUGGUGGCCACAAGCCCCCGAGUGUAGGUCCUCGAGGAGUUUCCGGCCUUCUUCCACGGUGAUGCAAUGCUGCAAGACCCCCGUCGGGAUUUGUCGAUAUAGCUCGUUGUCCUCACCAUAGAUCACAUACGACUUGGCCCGUCGAGCGAUACGGCGGGCCUCGGAUCGAUCUUCUGGCAGCUCGCAGCGGAUUAGGCAGUCGAGGAACGGCGUGCGCCAGUCGAACGGUCGACCGAACCGUUGUUCUGCCUCCAUCACCUCAGCUGCCAUCAAUAGUGUGUUGACGGUUUCGGUUUGCUGGGCAGGAGCAGCAUCGACGCCAGCCCCCGAGCCCAAGUCGACGGAUGGCUCGUGAAGAUCUCUUGAGAACGCGUCAGGUGGUACCGUGCCUCGGGUCGACGCGAUCUUGGCGAGUUCAUCGGCUGCCUCGUUGUAGCGUCGGGCGACGUGAACGAGCUCGAGGCCAUGGAAUUUGUCCUUGAGUCGAUGGACUUCCUUGCAGUACGGCUCCAUUUUCAGGUCGUGGCAACUUGAGGUCUUCAUCACUUGGUCAAUGACGAGUUGGGAGUUGCCUCGGACGUCAAAGCGUCGGACUCCUAGCUCGAUGGCGAUCUUGAGACCGUUGACGAGGGCCUUGUACUCUGCGACAUUGUUGGAUGCAGCAAAGUGAAUCCUGAUGAUGUAUCUCAUAUGAACGCCCAAGGGCGAGAUGAACAGCAGGCCAGCCCCAGCUCCCGUCUUCAUGAGUGACCCGUCGAAAUACAUCGUCCAUAACUCCGACUGGACCUGAGUCGGGGGAAGCUGGGAGUCUGUCCACUCCGCGACGAAAUCCAUCAGGGCUUGCGAUUUGAUAGCCUUGCGAGGCGCAUAAGUGAGAGUCUCACUCAUGAGCUUGACUGACCAUUUGGCUAUUCUUCCCGUGGCCUCCUUACUUUGGAUUAUCUCUCCUAGGGGGAAGGACGAGACCACCGUGAUAGGGUGGCCGAGGAAGUAGUGCUGCAGCUUGCGUUGGGCGAGGAUUACGGCAUAGAUCAGCUUCUGGAUUUGGGGGUAACGUGCCUUGGUCUCCGAGAGCACCUCACUGACGAAAUAGACCGGUCUCUGGACUGGCAACGCAUGCCCCUCCUCCUGCCUCUCGACAACCACAGCUCCACUGACGACCUGAGUCGUCGAGGCAACGUAAAGGAGCAGUGGUUCUGCAGGUUGAGGCGGGACCAGGACUGGUGCUGAAGUCAGCGUUUUCUUCAAGUUUUCGAGGGCUUCCUCGGCCUCGGGGGUCCAAGAGAAACGCUCGACCUUCUUCAGGAGUCGAUAUAAUGGUAAUGCCUUUUCUCCUAACCUCGAGAUGAAAUGGCUCAGCGCUGCUAGGCAUCCCAUGACUCUCUGCACACCCUUGAUGUCUCGAAUCGGGCCCAUUCUCGUGAUGGCCGAGACUUUCUCGGGGUUGGCCUCGAUGCCACGCUGGGAAACAAUGUAGCCCAGGAGCAUGCCUCGAGGCACGCCAAAAACGCAUUUCUCGGGAUUGAGCUUGAUCUGGUUGGCGCGUAAGCAGCUGAAAGCGAUCUCGAGAUCCUGGAUCAGGUCACCUUGCCGCUUUGAUUUGACGAUGAUGUCGUCGACAUAGGCCUCGACCGUCGACCCUAUGUGUUUGCCAAACACGUGGAGCAUGCAACGUUGGUACGUAGCUCCCGCGUUUCGAAGCCCAAAUGGCAUGGUUACAUAACAAUACAUCCCAAAAGGUGUGAUAAUAGACGUCGCGAGCUGGUUGGACUCUUUCAUUUUUAUUUGGUGGUAACCGGAAUAUGCAUCAAGGAAAGAAAGGGUUUCACAUCCCGCAGUAGAAUCAACAAUUUGAUCAAUACGUGGUAAAGGAAAAGGAACUUUCGGACAAGCUUUAUUUAAACUCGUGUAAUCGACACACAUCCUCAUUUUCCCAUUCUUUUUCUUAACUAGUACAGGGUUUGCUAACCAGUCGGGAUGAUGAACCUCCUUGAUAAAUCCGGCCGUCAAAAGCUUGUGGAUCUCCUCGCCAAUGAUCUUGCGCUUCUCCUUGUCGAAUCGGCGCAACCGUUGCUUCACUGGCUUGGAACCGGCUCGAAUUUCCAAGGAGUGCUCGGCGACUUCCCUCGGUACGCCUGGCAUGUCCGAGGGACUCCAUGCAAACAUGUCGACGUUUGCACAGAGAAAGUCGACGAGCACAGCUUCCUAUUUGGGGUCGAGGUCGGCACUGAUCGUCAGCACCUUGCCGUCGGAGUUAUUAGGGUCGAGCGGGAUCUUCUUGGUUCGCUCUGCUGGCUCGAAGCUGCCCGCGUAGUGCUUGGGCUCUGGAGCCUCAGCGGCUAGGGCCUCGAGCUUCGCAACGAGCUUGGUGGAGUUCUCGACCGCCUCCCCAUACUCGAUGCACUCGACGUCACACUCGUAAGCGUGCUCGAAGGAGGAGCUGACGGUGAUGACUCCUUCGGGACCGGGCAUCUUUAGCUUCAAGUAGGUGUAGUUGGGUAUAGCCAUGAACUUGGCGUAGCCCGGGCGCCCGAUGAUGGCGUGGUACGUGCCCCGGAACCCGACCACCUCAAAGGUGAGGGUCUCCUUCCUGAAGUUGGCCGCCAUGCCAAAGCAGAUCGGUAAGUCGAUUCGACCCACUGGCAGCGCCUUUUUCCCUGGCACGACGCCAUGGAAACCACCGGCGCUUGGUUGGAGCCGCCACCUGUCGAUACCUAGGAGGUCGAGGGUCUCGAGGUAGAUGAUGUUGAGGCUGCUGCCACCAUCCAUCAACACCUUUGAGAGCCGGGUGUUGACGAUGAUGGGGUCGACGACGAGCGGGUAGACGCCCGGGGCAACCACCUUGUCGGGGUGGUCCUCUCGAUCGAAGGUGAUGGGCGUGCUCGACCAGCUGAGGUACUGGGGUACCGCCAUUCUCGCUGCGAAGACCUCACGACGUUCCCUCUUGCGCUGCCUUGCAGUCAACUGUGUCGAGGGCCCACCAUAGAUCAUGUAGCAGUCGUGGACGGCGGGGAAACCAUCGUCGUCCUUGUUGCCCUCCUUGUCGCCGCCCUUCUCCUUCUUUGGGUCGUCGCGCGCGUCUUUUUUGAAUCCCAGACCGUCGAAAUGCUUUUUCAGCAUGCGACAGUCUUUGAGCUUGUGAUUGGCUCCUCCCUUAUGGUAAGGGCAUGGCUCCUCUAGCAUCUUAUCGAAGAUGCCUCCAUCUGGGGGACCUCGAGGUCUCUUGCGUUCCAUGGCGGCGAUGAGAUUGUCAUCGAAGUCUUGUCGCGAGAACUGCCGCGCUUUCUGCUUCUUCUUGUUCUUCUUGGGCCCUCGACUGGGGGUCCCAUCUUCGUCGGUAGGCUGCUUGCCUUUCCUUCCUUCACAGCUAAAGAAGGCACCGACCGCUUCCUCCCGUGCUGCGUAAUUUGCCACUACGUCCAUCAGCUCAUCGACGGUCUGAGGGUGAUUCCGGCCCAGCUCCCGCACCAAGUCUCGACUGGUGGUACCAGAGACAAAGGCCAGGAUGACAUCAUGGUCGGGUAUAUGUGGCAGCUCGGUGCGCUACUUCGAGAAGCGUCGAGCAUACUCUCGAAGAGUUUCUCCUAACUUCUGCUUGCACUUGCUGAGGUCCCACGAGUUCUCGGGCCGUAUGUAGGUCCCUUUGAAAUUACCCUCGAAGACUCUAACCAAAUCGACCCAGUCGUGGAUCUGAUUAGCUGGAAGUUCCUCGAGCUACCAACGGGCGGUAUCAGAGAGGAAAAGUGGUAGCUGUCUGAUGAUGGCUCGAUCGUCUCCUCGAGCACCUCCCAGCUGACAAGCUAACCUGAAGUCCGCCAGCCACAGUUCUGGUUUGGUUUCACCAUUGUAUUUUGCGAUGCUGGUUGGGGGUCGGAACGGACUGGGCAGUGGUGUGCUGCGGAUUGCCCUGCUGAACACCCGUGGGCCUGGUGGCUCGAGGGCCAUUCGGUCCUCGUCGCUGUCGUAUCUCCCACCACGAUGUGUGCUGUAACCGCGCUCUUGCGCGUCCCCAUGCCGGCAGCGUCGAUUCUCUUCGAUGUCAUGCCGUGCGUCGUGUCGACGCUGAUUGUCGAUGGGGAGAACGAGCGUGGUCUUUCUUCCUCGAGGGGGUGGCCGUUGAUGGACUGAUGCCUCUUUUUCGUUUUGGGGUGGCUCAUCACGCUUUUCAGUGGCAGCUCCUCGUCGUCGAGAAGCCGAGGUUUCGGCUUGUUGAACUGCUGCCACCUGGAGCAGAGUCUGCACCUCAUCUCGAAUACGUCAAGCUUGGGAAUUUGAUGGCUCUGGCAUGUUGCGCAGCAGCAUUGUUGCCGCCACUACAUUCUGGCCUGCUCGAGGGAAACGGCUGACAGGCUGCUCUGGCUCUGCGUCUCCGACGAUUUGUCGGUGUACCUCUCGAGCGCGUCUGCGGACACUUCCGCCAGGCGGGUAGAGCAAGUCUUGCUCGAGGAUUUGCUCAAGCAGGACGAGGCACUCACGAUCCUCAUCAAGCUUGGUCUUGAGCUCUCGUAACUGCACGAGUUGCGCGGCCUUGUCUUCCUGUGGAAGCGGGUCGACCUGUCCGUUGUUCCCGGGCAUCCUGGGAUCUUCUCCUGCCGCAGGGGCUCGACCGCCGGCAGCCGCAUCUUGCGUCUCGUCGGUAGUUUCUACCGCCCCGUCGAUGUGAUAGCAUUCCCUUGUAGGGUCAUAGCUAUCGGUCUCGGAGUCGGAGUCCAGCUCGGCGGCGUAGUAACAUCCACGUCCUUCCUCCAGCAGCCGCUGCCUGAGCGAGGUGAUCGUGUAUCGUCCAGGGCCUAGGCGGCGGAGGCUUCGUACCCGGGAGAGGUCCGGCAGCUCGGACGUCGGCGGCCGUGCUUCGGAGUCACGUGGAAGGACCAUUGGUCUUUCCACGUAUGUUUGGGCGUCUGGGCAUAUUGCCCUGGCGAGCGACAUCGCGGCGUUGUCCAACCCGAAUGGCAAUGCCCUUCCUGGGGUGAACAACCUGUCACAGAACCGACCAAAUUAUAAGAGUUCAAGUGCAGAAACGAUCGCCAAACAAUCAAGUUUCUAGACUUGAGCCCAUAUAAUCCCGGUAGUCAAUCGAAAUCACGAAGGACUUCAAACCAACUCGCAACAAACCAAGAUCGUAAUGGUUCAACAUAAACACAACGAAUGUUACAUAGUCAUUCAUUGCCGUCGAAGCGGCACCACAUCGGAGUAUUAAGUUAUUACAACACAUGUUCGAAGUAGCGGAAGCAAAAUAAGUACACACACUUGUUCAAAUCUUAGUUCACAAGUUUGUUACUGCCAGAGUCUAGGUCAUCCUUCCAAAAGCAUCAUAGAUGAGAAGAUUAGAGAACCGUGCCCAACGGUUAGUCCUCAUCCCCAGCGGGAUGGAGACAGGUCUUGCAGAAACCGUCAUAGAAGAUAUCAUCUGCAACAGGUGGGAAUAAACCCUGAGUACGAGGAUGUACUCAGCUAGACUUACCCGUCUAGUAAAACACAAAAGACACCAAGGAUCAUGCAAAGCUAAAUUUUAAGUGGAGCUGACUGACUCACCUUUUUGCCAAAAGCUUAACUUACAACUAAAUCAUUUUAAGAGCAUCAAUUUAUUUAUCAACAGCCUACCACUAGAUUAGCACCUGUACUACAACACAUCACUUGAUUAUUACAAACAAUAGUAACCAUAUCAAAUUUCAUCAUAUGUUCUUCUUGCUAUCAUUGUUAUCAUGAACCAAGUUUAUUAGUGAAUGCUACGUUUGCCGCUGCUCUGUCAAGUUCUCACUAACCGGGAGAGACGGCGAUUCGAAUCGAAUUCCCAUCCAGCUGGAGGUUUAUUCCUAGCACUCACCCAAGCAUCCCCUGCCGGAGAGCCAAUGGGUCACCUUUGGUACAACUCACGAAUCGCGGCUCCGAUCAGCGCCGCACUCCCAGGGCUACCACUCUGCCAGGGAGGUCAGGAAUUUUAACUCACCUGCCUUUGGACUUACGCCAAUGGUCCCCCGCACACCGUACUUCCUCCGGUAGUGCGCACUUUAUACUUGCCGGUCUUCCGGCCUGAGUCAUACUACUCGGCUUCGCGGUCGGAACGAGUUAUCCGGCCAACUAAGUGUCAGGCAUGCGUUCAACAUGACAAGAGGACGUACAACGAUCGGUCCUUAGCUGCCACAGACGGAGUUACUACACACUUGCAAAACUCCGCCCGGCUUAAGUCAAUUUAAUCAGGUUCCAUCCACGAUAGCACAUAUAGACCAUCGUGAUCCGACACAACCCUAUAUCGCGCGGAUGACAGGAUAUCACCCGACUUCUACCGAUUAAAGCAUAACUAAGCUGCUACUCGAACCUAACUCUACAACCAGGGAGGGUAAGUUAUCUGGACAAGGAUAGAGUAGGAUGCAGCAACAGUUUCAUCACAACUCCUAUACGUAAUGCAUCAAUAGAUAUAACGUAUUAAGUACACUUUCGAAAAUAGAGGAGGCUUAAAUGCUCCGGGGCUUGCCUUUCACGAACGAUGCCGGCUCGUGACUUGGGCACUCAACUUCUUCUUCGGGCUCCUCGAGUCCGGCUUGCUGGACCUCCACCUCCUGGCUGCCUUCCUGGCCUUCGGGAUUCGCUUGGAGCUCGAAGGAAACUGCCACGUCCGGUGCACCUAUUGCAUGCUCGACGAAUGAGAAAGUGCACAUGCUACAGAUGAAUGCUUAACAACACAAGCAACUCACUGGACACUCAUUUACGGAACAAGAGUUAUACUAACUCACAUGAAUAAACAAGUUAACAUAGCCCAAAACCUAUCAUGGCACUAAAGCAGCAAGCAACAUAAAACAAGUAUGCUCAGUAAAUAAAUCAUAAGUAUAGAUAGACAGGUCCAACAAACAUGAGUGAGGACAUUCUGGAAAGCUUAGGAAAUUGUCUACAACUCAUCUUUAAACAUGACAGCAAGAUUCAAACAUCAAAUUAGUCAUUUUAACAAAGUUCCAGAUUCUGUCCCAGAAAAACAGAGAAUCCCUAUUUCUGGAACCUAACUUGGAACAGCUGUAACUUUUAAACUACUUGGCCAACUGACCUCAAAUUUGAACCACAGUUAGUUCAACAAGUUUAGAACAACUUUGUUUUAUACAAGUUUCACAGAAAGUCAACUUAUCAUUAAGCAAAGUUAAAUUAUUCACUUGCUGUCCAGACAGCAUUUAACCCUAUAGUUAAUUAUUUAAUGACAUGAUCAAAACAUAAACUAGGCCAACCAUAUGACUCAUGAGCACAAACAUAAUACAAGGUCACCAGAUCAUCAGUUGAAAACCCCAAAACAAUUACUUAACAAGGCAUUUAUUAAUUAAUUUUAGAUAAGGCAUAUUUACAAGAUAUUAGUUAAAGUGCUCAGAAAAAUCUACAAAAAUUACAGAGGCACAAGUAUAACAUCAGAUUACCACCAUAAAAAUUUCAGGACCAAUGCACAUGCCAAAUUAAAGAUAUGCAUUUAACAUGUAUCAAGGCAUUUAUUUCACAAAUUCAUAGACAUGACUUAUAUAAUGUCAACAGCAGAUUUCAGAUUAUUUAUAUCUUAGGAAUACCACAAACAAGCUUACCACCAAAAUAGAGCACCAGCAUAAGCACCAAUUAUUUUAUGCGAUUUAAUUAAAGACACAAGCCAUAUUUCAAACACAAAUUACAUAUCACAACUACAGUGCUCCAAAAAUCAUGAAAUAAUUAUCAGAGCAUUCUGAGGCCAUGCAAAGACUACCAUAAAAAUUUCAGAGCAAACUAAUCAGUAAAACCAGAGAUAUGCAUUUAUCCAUGAAUAACAAGAUUAAAUCCUUAAUAAAUAAUUUCUCAGAAAACAUGGUUCAUUUUAUAUUUUUAUUAAAUACUAGCCAUCUCAAGAAACAACACAAAAUUUGUUUCACAAUUUUUGGAUCUCAGAAACAGGAGAUAUGAUUUUUGCAAGAAAGCCAAAAAUCAGGAUUUUGAAUAAAAGAAAAGGAGGGAAAGAGAGAGUCGCUGACAGGGGGUCCCACCCGUCAGGCUCUUCUUCCUCACGACCGAGGCGAUCUUCGCCGGCGAUUUCUCCGCGACGGCGAGGUCUCCGGCCAAACCCAGGGCAUCAACGUGAUCCCCAAACCCUAACGACUCGAUUGACCCCACUUUUGCCACGGCGGAGCCACCGGAAGGGACUCACCGUCGGCAAUGGCGGCUCGGCGGAGGUGCUCGGCGUUACGCCGGAGCCCUCAGGCCGGUAGAGCGUGACCUAAGGCCUUCUACAGCACCAGCAGACUAAGGCGAAGCUCCCUAGGUACACGGCUUGGCCUGGAUCCCCGUGAAAAGCGCUGGCCACGAGAGCACCCAACUCCGGCGGAAGCACGGCGGCGCUGCGCACCGUGUCCGGCGACGGAGAACCCGGUAGAGCGUCCACCAGGUGGCGCAAAAGCUCGCUAAGGACCUAAGCUACCUCUAGGACCUAACCAAAGACGAUGAGAAGCCUCACAGCGCUCGGCAUUGAGUUCGCCGGAGAAGAUGGUCACGGCAGACCGAUUUGGGGGAAGAAAGAAAUGUCGGCUCACCGGUGGGUUUCUCGGCGAGUUAGAGGGUGGAGCUUGGAGAGCGGCUCACGGCGGAGCUUUGGGUGGAGUUUGGUGGAUGGAAACGCAGAGAGGAGCGCACACGAGCUCGCCGGAGUGAGCUCGCGGCGGAGGGCUCGCUGCGGGCGAGGUUCAGGCGAGAGAGGGCGAGGCAGAACGAAAUGGACGCGUCCACGCGCUCGGGGCGUCGCCGUGGUGGUCAUGCACGCGACGAGGGCUGACAAGCGGGGCCAGGAACGGCGUACGGGCGCCAAAUGGCGACGGAGCGCUGCCGGCGGUCGGCCACGUCGACGAGGUCCAAGUCAAUUCAGACAGUGCAUCGACCGACUGACAGAGCGAUUUCACCGGUGAUUAUCUCCCAAACCAGAGCGAAUUAGGCGAUGGCGUAGUUGACAAACUUGGAGUACUAGGCGAGAUCUACAACUUUGUCAACUAGAGCAAAGACUAGAUCGGCUUGGAUUGAAAGAUAUAGAGUUUCCAAAAUCGAUCACGCAAACUGCAAACCACCCGGGGACUUAGAAAAUUUCUAAGUGUGGAAAACAGCCCCAAAUCUGCCUUGUGGACCACUUUUGAGCUAGUUGUGAUCAUUUUCAUGAGAUGGCCAUAAAACAACUUUUGUUCCUUAUAAAAUUUGCUACAACUUUUCUGUAGGAAGUUUUGACAUGCAAACAUUUUAUGAAACACUUUUUAAAAGCCUAAGCAGAAGAGGUUUCUAGGGCCUAUUUGCAUAAGUAAGACUUAAGUGAUUAUUUUGGAGAAGUGAUCAACAUGAACAUUGUUCCCAAGGUUAAGUUAAGCAUAGAUAAGCUAUUUACAAGACAUUAAGCACAUACACAAGCAUUGUUCACUCAAACAUAAGCAUAGGAAGCCUAUUUAAGCAAUUUAAAACACAUUUUUGCAAAGGAUGACAUGUCCCAAGAUAGAUGAUGAUCAUGGAUGCUUUGAAUACAUGAUGAUGCUCAUGCUAUGCACAUGUUUGAUGCAACCAUAACACUGAGGUGUUACACAACCCAUGUGGAAGCAACCUAGCGGUGGGGGAGAGCGCUCGGGGUGCGUUACCUCUUGUCGUCGUAUGGUGUCGGGCCAACAUGCCCGCGGUUUCAGUACGCGGCGCGGCCAGCUCCUGUGCCACCUCCUGCCUAGCACGAACUGCCGGUCGUGACGAGGCAGAGGGAUGACGAUGGUGCUGCCCACGCCUCUUCUUGGGCGGGGAGGCAUUAUGUCGAGGGCGUCUCGGGGCCCUCGUUCGCACUGGCGCAACGCGGGCUCCUCCCGGUCCUCUGAUCGAGAGCAAGACCAUGUCGUAGCCGGAGCCAGUAGACAUGAACUCAAGGCUCCCAAACCAGAUCACCGUGGAGCACGGAAUCGACGAGGCGAGAGUGGCCAUCUGGAAAGGAGUGGGAAAUCGAUGAAAAACACGCAGGACCCCUACCUGGCGCGCCAACUGUCGGUGUUUUCCCCACGGGAGGUCACACAAACGAGUAAAUUUGUAUGCGUGCUCCCUUUUCUAGAUGGUGAUGCAAGAAGACACAAAGAUUUAUCCUGGUUCGGGUAAGAGAAGGCCCUACGUCCAGCGGGGGAGGGAAGUUUGUAUUAUCUUGCACCUAAGUGCUUGUACAGGGGCGAAUACAAGUCUGUAUGAACCGGGAUGGAGUAUGGAAACUUCUCUACGUGUGUGCGUUGUGAUACGUGAUGUCUGUCUAUUCCUGGGUCUCCCCUUUUAUAGCUCCAAGGAGAGACCUAGGGCACAUGUAUAGGUGUGUUAGAGUAGGGGUCGAUAGAGGCAUGGCGUGCUGACCUACUCAAGGCCUCCGUACCGGCGUGGUCUCGAGCCGUCCCGUCUUGGUAGCUUGAUGAUGAUUACGCGUGCCCCUCUAUCCUGCCCUGCGCGCCGUCUUGGGCUGGUUCACUGGUCGCACGCCUGUACGGUAUAGCGGCAGAUCCGGUGGAGUGGCUGCGGUGUUGUCAGUCGACGCCCAACUCUUCCCCAGGAAGGAACCAUGCCUGGUCGAGGGUCAGGCGUCGUGCAGUGCCUUGUCGUCCACAGCGUUGACCUUGGGUGUCUCGAGGGGGUCCCGACUAGACGCUCCAUCCCUACUUUCCGUGCCCUGGCACGCUCUGAGUCGUUUGGUGGGGAAAGCAGCAAAAAGGAUGAUGGGACGGGUGCUGUUCCCUAUCACGCUUCCCGUGACCAGCGUGUUAGGUGGGAAAGCGACAGGCGCAUUAAAUGCCCUGGCUCUCGUGCGCGCGUCAGACGGCAGACAGUGCCCUUGCGCUCGACGCCACCCGAUUCGCUCGAGCCCUUUUCCGUAUUCGACGGUAGUUAGCGCUCGACCCCUGAGUGGUUCGCUCGACGUCUUUUCCGUCUUUGAGGCUGCGGCCGUCGAUGACCGCACGACUUAUUAGAGCGUCGAGUUGAGGCCCUCGAUCUGUGCACGGGUAAUCUCGUUAUGGGCAUCACUUAGGGUACCCCUUACUGAUACCCUCGACAGAAAUGGUGGGGAAAAAACACGAGCUGGACUCUAACAAGUCCUAACGAGCAACAAGACCUCGACCAGGACACAAACUCAACAUUGUGGACUCUGAAACUGAAAUAUGCAAAGGCUAUGGCGUGGAAGGGUUGUAGGACAGGAAAACGAUGUGGCGCUGGACUUAUGGGAAGAACACAAGAACCCUCGAAACUAAGGGUAGAUGUGAACCUAACGGUAUACCUGAAGCUUUGAUUACCACUUGAUGAGAACAAGGGUGGCCCGAUCUUCCGAAAGGCUCUGGUAACUCUUGAUUUGAUGAAGACGAGACACAAAUCGAUACGGCUUCCGAAUAACACGAUCCGAAACCCCACAAAUUUUUUAUUUUUUUGAUAUUUUUAUUUUACUUAGGAGCACUAAAGAAGUAACCACAGAAAAUUUGAGCUUAAACAAGUAAAAGAUGUGGCCUGUGGAAUUUUCUGAAGAUUACAAAAAAUGUGAAAAAAACUUCACAAGGUGAAAACUCAAACUUCGGAGGCGAAUUUGGAGAUUCUAAAAUUUUAAAACCCGCUUCAAGUAGGGACAGACAUAUCUGAAAUUUUGUUCUGAUCGAUUUUGAUAUAUGGAACAUUGAAAUCGCGGUUCGUAUGUGAAAGUUAUGGCUAUUUUACGAACGGACUCCGAAUUAGAGGACAAAAUGGUCCGAAAGUGGGAAAAAUUUGCGGCGAUGGCUAGAAAUUGAUGGAACGAUGGAGAAAAAACACGAACUGGACUCUAACAAGACCAAACCAGCAACAAGACCUCAACCAGGACACAAACUCAAAACUGCAGACUCUAAAACUGAAAUAUGCAAGGUGUUGACACUUGCUAACACCACUUGAAUACUAGGUUGUCAUCCCCAGCAUGGUACUAGAGUGUACUAUGGUAUUUAUAUGAACACAGAUAUAUCCGCUAGUGCACGGAUACCGUUGUAGCUUUUACCGUGUUAAAGGUUUUAUCGUAUCCAUAAGGAAACGGGAGAACCAACUACUCUCUAACUUAACUAAGAUAGAUAGAUAGGUGUAAAUAGGAAAGAUGAUAGAAAUGAAUAAGAAUAAUAUUAAAGGUAAGAUAACAAUGGGUGAUAAUAUGGGAAUAGAGAGUAGAGCAAUCUAGAUAUGGACGAUAAUAGGAGAAUAGAUAGGAUAACUAGGGUUUCUCCACUUCAAAGGGGUAUGUCUGUCUGUGGCGUACCAUAAGUAUAAAACAACACAGAGGAUGCUUAUACCUAAGGUCGAGGACUCCUACCAGUCCUUCUAAUGGGAGGUGGACUAUAGAGGACUACGUAGCUGUCACCUACACGGCCUACCACACGAUCCGGCUAACAGGGGAUAUCCACAAGUAAUCUAGGCCUAAGCACCACGCUUACACCUAUACUACAACUCUCACCUAUAGCGUCCUAUAGAUUAAAGUACUCAAAAGAGUUGUGAACCAGAACAUACAUGGAUAGUAAUUGCAUAAUGAAAUAGAAGUAGAUUACCAGAGUCAUCCCAUGAGCAAGCUUGAUUAGAGCUUGAUCAUGGCGAAGUACAAUCGGAGGAAGAACCGAUAGGCCGGCCUCUCCUACAAUCCUCCCUCGCUCUCCAUCUCGCUACUAUCUAGAUCUACUCUAGUUUAGAGAUGAGAGGAGAGCUCUCAUCUCCAAACCCUAUCUUUUGCUCUGUCUAUGAAUAAUGAAUAAGGAUUUAGAGGUCGUCUCCUCCAAGGGCCAGAUGGCUUACUUAUAUAGCCCUUCCAAAUGAACAUGGGCCGUCGGAUCAAACCGACCUUCAUCGCACGGUUUUCCUUGAUCCUCAAAGGCAGUAGAGCAUAAUCCGCGAGGCUCGGCCUGAUUGGCUGCUGAGCCAGGGCAAGCGCCCUAGGGGGGAGGGCGGGCGCCCUGUCCCCGGGCCCGCUCGGCCUCCCGUUCGUUCUCAUGGCUUUUGGACUCUUCUAGAUGAGAGAAAAUUGGCGCACACAUUAAUAUCUCUAUGUAAACCCGACGUGUGGGCCUUUCCUCCAUAUUUCCUGAUAACCCCCUGCCGAAAUAGACAAACACCAAAACUCAUGGAAUUCUGUCAGAUAAAACCCUAAGUCUGGGUGUUGGUUGCAUUUGGAUCCUUUUCUUUAUUUAUUUGAUGAUUAUAUUUGGUACUUAAGGACCGUCAACAACUCCCCCAAGCUUACCUCUUGCUCGUCCCUGAGAAAGGAUGGACUCAAGAGUUUCUGCAGUGGUUUCAUGUCUUAAAGGUACACAUGCGUUCAAACAAGAUCUCAUCUCUAGGUUAGGGUAAAUUGUUAAGAUUUAAACUUACUCAUAUUACCUUCCAUCAUGGGGCUUGUAACCGUCACUUGUGUCUUGAGUAGUUAAAGGAUAGAACGGUCAAGUCCAGCGCCAUGUCUCUUGUUUUUGAUCAACUAUAGCUCUAGAGUUUUGGCAGAUUUUCAAAUAAAACUCAGAGAUUCCUUUGUAUGACUCUCUCAGAUCUCUCUUUUGUUGUAUUUCUGGAUACUUACCAAGGCAGUGAUGGUAUAUGCCUUCUCUCAAAGUAUGUAGUAUUUGUGGUAUAAGGCAUAGUGACAUUGCCUUCUCUCUCACCCUACUCUAAUAAGGCUUGAUAUCUGGAGCUCAUAGGUGGGACAUAAAGUAUACAUACUUACAAGACAUUUAGUGCAUAGUCAAACCAUGGAUCGAGAAGAACAGGUCAAUAAGUCAAAUCAAGAUGUGCAUGUGUGGCGAAUGAAUGGUGUAUGGUGAUGAUGGUGAUAAUGGUGAAAACAAUGGUCAAAGUCUAAUUCUACGUUUGCUCUUUUGAGGGGAUAUAUACCUUACUUGCACUUUGAAACUUUUUGAGGGGAAUGAGAUGCUCUAUAUUUUCUUUUUCUUUUCUCUCAGGUGGGUAUCUUGUACCCCUAAUUCUACUAUUGGACACUUGUCCAUUUUUACCUCUCGUCUCACUUUUUCUUUUUUCGAGGUUUCAGGCACUUGCCCCUUUUUAUUUCCUCGUAUUCAUAUUUUUUUCAGAGCACUCAUCCUCCUAGAAUAAUGUAGCAAGUGGUAGUAACCAAAAUAUCUUGAGCAUUUAUUUCACGAGGAAUAACAGGGAUAGUAUAAUGUUUUUGGCUAUUCUCUCCUAGAUAGGAGUAGAAUAAUUUUAAGUGAAUCUGGAGAUGGAAAUGUGUGGAUGUAUCUGGAUGCGUACUUCUGGACUAGAAGCAGCAUGUAUGAGUGAGCGUGCAAGUGAAUCUUGAUCUUAACCGUAUGACAACCUCCUAAGGGUCUACACAGCUUGACCACACUCAAUGCUCAUUUGUAGUAAAAAGAUGUAAAUGUAUAGUUCAUAGUCUAGCAAGCAUGUAUGUAUGGCCGUGGUGGGAAUUUAAACUCUCAUCAUAUAGGAACUCAUCAUGCAAUAUUUUAAAGAUUUUUAUAGAUAAAAUUCUCUAGAAUUCUAGCAUCUCUAGGAACAGAUAAACAACAGCUCAACCUUCCCAUAUCAUAUCCAUUAACGAUUUAGACUUUAGAUCAAGUACUCUUUCCACAAGUUCAGGUUUAGAGCAAAUCUUAAUUCAUAACAGUCAUGCCUAAACUUGAGAGAGAUUUCAAUUUUGAGAACUAGUCAUGGUAGAGCAACUAUUCAUCAUUUCCAUGUGAGAGCUUAUCAUGAGGGUUCAUAGCAAACUUUAUUUAUUUAUUUAGUAAACUAAGCAA
rnacentral:lncRNA from 1 species